rnacentral:lncRNA from 1 species
GGGGGAGGGGGUUAUCAUAUAGUGCUAUCAACAUUCAUAAAAUUGUUAAAAAAAAUUCAUAAUGAUAUAAAACAUUAACAAACAUUCGUUCCUUUUAGCUCAACAUACCGAGGAAUUCGAAUGAAGCUGAUACCAUUGGCGCUUUUGGUCAGCCAAAAUUUCAGGAUUAAAAUUGUAAUCCUUACUUUCAUCUUUACCCCAUUUUAAAGCCCUUUGAACUUGAUGCUUCCAUUUUUGGAAACCGUUGCUGCGUUUGCCCCCAUUCCCAGAUGAUACAUCACUCUUUGAACGCCUAUGACCCGGCCCUGAUGGUGGAAGGUUUAAACUGCUCGUAUCACUUGGCAUUCUAUCAACUUUUAAAAAUGCCUUGUCAGGUAUCUUCUCUAUUGCCAAAGAUGGACCCCUCUCUAACAGCUGAGUUGUCGUCGAAGAUGCAUUAGUUGUUGUAGAAGAUGGAUCCUUCUCUAGUGUUUGAGUAGUUGUUGAUGAUGGAUCCUUCUCUGACACCUUAGUAGUCGAAGAUAGAUCCUUCUCUGAUGCCUGAGUUGUUGUUGUUGAAGAUGGAUCCUUCUCCGACGCCUGAGUUGUUAAAGAUGGAUCCUUCUCUGAAGCCCUAAUUGUUGAUGAUGAAUCCUUCUCUAACGCCUGAGCUGUUGUUAAAGAUGGAUCAUUUUCUGACGUCUGAGUUGUUAAAGAUUGAUCAGUCUGUGACUCCUGAUUUGUUGUAAACAUUGAAUCAUUCUCUGAUGCCUGAGCUAAUUCUAAAGAUGGAUCAUUCUCUGAAGCUUGAGAUGUCACCAAAAAUGAAUCUUCUUCUGAAGCCUUAGUUGUUGAAAAUGGAUCCUUCUCUAAAGCCUGAGUUGUAGACGAAGAUGAAAUAUUGUCUAAGGCCUGAGUUGCUGUCAAAGAUUGAUCCUUCCCUAAUGUCUGAGUUGUUGUCGAAGAUGGAUCCUUCCCUAACUCCUGAGUUGUUUUCGAAGAUGGAUCAUUUGCUAAUGUCUGAGUUGUUGUCGAGGAUGGAUCUUUCUCUGACGCCUGAAUUGUUAUCAAAGAUUGAUUUUCCUCUGACACCUGAGUUGUUGAAGAUAGAUCCUUCUCUGACGCUGGAGUUGUUAAUGAUGGAUCCUUAUUUGACGCCUCAUUUGUUGAAGAUGGAUCAUUCUCUGAUGCCUGAGUUGGCGUCAAAAAUGAAUCAUUUUCUGAAGCCUUAGUUGUUGAAGGUGGAUCCUUCUCGAAAUCCUGAGUUGUAGUCGAAGUUGGAUCCUUGUCUAAUGCCUGAGUUUCUGUCAAAGAUUGAUCCUUCCCUAAUGUCUGAGUUGUUGACGACGGAUCCUCCUCUGAUGCUUGAGUUGUUAUCAAAGAUCGGUCCUCCUCUGACGCCUGAGCUGUUGUCGAAGAUAGAUCGUUCUCUGACACCAGAGUUGUAAGAGAUGGAUCCUUAUGUGACGCCUGAGUUGUUAAUGAUGGAUCGUUCUCUGUUGCGGGAGUUGUAAAAAAUGAAUCAUUUUCUGACGUCUGAGUUGUCAAAAAUGAAUCCGUUUCGGAAGCCUGAGUUGUCAAAGAUGAGUCCUUCACUGACAUAGGAGACGUUAUCAAAGAUAGAUCCCUCUCUAAUGCCUGAUUUAUUGUCAAAGAUGGAUCCUUCUCUGACGCUGGAUUUGUCAAAAAUGAAACCUUCUCUGAUGCUAAAGUUGUUGUCAAAUUUGGAUUCUCCUCCAAAGCUGGAGUCGUUACCAAAGAUGAAUCUCUCUCUCGCACUAAUUUUGUUUCCAUUUAACAAUCAAUUGCAGCCUGGUUAAAGGAAACAAUCAGUUGCAUACAUUUGGGAAAUAAACAAGCGAACUAAAGUUGAUUGCUAACGUCCUCUGCAAAAUAGAACACAGUUGUAUAAUUUUAAUCACUGUCGCGUUUUAGGAAAAUGCAAAUUGUGUUUGGUUCAACCAUUUGAGGAAAGAUAAACAUCUAGCUAAAGAACUUUAGCUAGUGUUCACGCAUGACACUAUAAGGAUCUUAGCUGAGGUAACACAGCUAAAUUUAUAAUCUUUUUGCCUUGCAACAGAUAAGACACCAUGAAUCAAAGGUAAAAGAAACACAUAACAACAAAUCCGUUUCCUACAUAUAUAAUUUUCAAAUACAAAUACACAGAGUUUCUUGAUAGUAUAUUGGCAAUCAAAAUUUUGAGAAAAGAUUUGCAGCAAAUCAUAAACAUCACAAUGAUGAGAGUACAAUAUACCAGAGAGAUUUUGCUUCAGAACAUCACUCAAGUAAAAACAAUACAAAAAACCAAAAAAAAAAAAAAACAAGCCCCUAUCAACUACUAAACCAAUAGAAAAAUUCUUAACUAGAAAAGGUGCUACAAGCCUAGGACUAUCAGAGGAAUAUCAAAAUCAUACUUCAAGUUCUGGACAAAAAAGAAAAAUAACUCAACCAGGAACAUGAAAUUCCUAAUUGCUAGAAUUUUUCGUAUUGUGCAUUUAAGCCGGAGAUUAUGCAUCUACAAAUCAUCAUAGCAUAAUCUUCUGUACUUAAAAUUCUCUCCUAUCUGGGAUCAGAAUCUAACCAAAUAUGGUAAACAAUAUACAUAGCCCAUGCAUGCAGUUAUUUACUCAUUUAACACAUAAACUAUAAAUUGAUAUAAGAAUCAGAGCCAUCAAGAAAGUCAUACCUCUACAAAAAACAACAAUUUGCAGAACUUCCAAGCCUCAACACAGAAUAUAACUGAAUAUAUUUAUAUCCAAAAAUUAAUGUAGCCAUCCUGCAAAAAUCAAAUAAAAAUCAUAUUUUGAGUUGGGAAUUAGAAUCUGAUAAUUACUUCUAAUUAAUGCAUGUAUCAUAUGUGCAAAAAAACCACAAAUUUUGUUGGCUCUUUUUUUUUAUUUCAAAUCAUAAAAUAAAUGAUAUCAAACUAGUAGAAAAUCAGAUAUCAAACUAGUAGAAAAUCAAAGGCCAAAAUGAACAAAUGUUACCUGAUACCAGGAUGAUCAGAGAGAUGUUAAUCGAGAGAGAUAAUAAUGGGGGAGAUUCCCUGUCGUUCUCUGUAAUGUUGUAUAAUUUUAAUCACUGUCGCGUUUUAGGAAAAUGCAAAUUGUGUUUGGUUCAACCAUUUGAGGAAAGAUAAACAUCUAGCUAAAGAACUUUAGCUAGUGUUCACGCAUGACACUAUAAGGAUCUUAGCUGAGGUAACACAGCUAAAUUUAUAAUCUUUUUGCCUUGCAACAGAUAAGACACCAUGAAUCAAAGGUAAAAGAAACACAUAACAACAAAUCCGUUUCCUACAUAUAUAAUUUUCAAAUACAAAUACACAGAGUUUCUUGAUAGUAUAUUGGCAAUCAAAAUUUUGAGAAAAGAUUUGCAGCAAAUCAUAAACAUCACAAUGAUGAGAGUACAAUAUACCAGAGAGAUUUUGCUUCAGAACAUCACUCAAGUAAAAACAAUACAAAAAACCAAAAAAAAAAAAAAACAAGCCCCUAUCAACUACUAAACCAAUAGAAAAAUUCUUAACUAGAAAAGGUGCUACAAGCCUAGGACUAUCAGAGGAAUAUCAAAAUCAUACUUCAAGUUCUGGACAAAAAAGAAAAAUAACUCAACCAGGAACAUGAAAUUCCUAAUUGCUAGAAUUUUUCGUAUUGUGCAUUUAAGCCGGAGAUUAUGCAUCUACAAAUCAUCAUAGCAUAAUCUUCUGUACUUAAAAUUCUCUCCUAUCUGGGAUCAGAAUCUAACCAAAUAUGGUAAACAAUAUACAUAGCCCAUGCAUGCAGUUAUUUACUCAUUUAACACAUAAACUAUAAAUUGAUAUAAGAAUCAGAGCCAUCAAGAAAGUCAUACCUCUACAAAAAACAACAAUUUGCAGAACUUCCAAGCCUCAACACAGAAUAUAACUGAAUAUAUUUAUAUCCAAAAAUUAAUGUAGCCAUCCUGCAAAAAUCAAAUAAAAAUCAUAUUUUGAGUUGGGAAUUAGAAUCUGAUAAUUACUUCUAAUUAAUGCAUGUAUCAUAUGUGCAAAAAAACCACAAAUUUUGUUGGCUCUUUUUUUUUAUUUCAAAUCAUAAAAUAAAUGAUAUCAAACUAGUAGAAAAUCAGAUAUCAAACUAGUAGAAAAUCAAAGGCCAAAAUGAACAAAUGUUACCUGAUACCAGGAUGAUCAGAGAGAUGUUAAUCGAGAGAGAUAAUAAUGGGGGAGAUUCCCUGUCGUUCUCUGUAAUUUUUUUGGGAAGAUUGAUUAAAAUUUUGAUCAGUUUUUUUUUUAGGAAAUUUUUGAUCGGUUUUGUUUUGGAGUAUUAGAUAUUUACUUUUUCCUUAUAUUUUUGUUGGGUAAUAUUUACAUUUUCUAAUUACAUAAAACAUAAAAUAUAAAAAAUUUACCUAAGGUAUAUAAUUUACCUCAAUAUUUGGUUUUGAUAAUGCCCAUCCUCAUUUUAAUAACUUUGGUCAUGUCAACAAAAUAUAUUAUAUAAUUUACUAUUUAUCAAAAUUAAUUAUGACGUUAUUUAAUUUUUUAUAAUAUAAUUAUAAUUAUAAAAUAACAAGUAACACCAUCUAUAUCUAUAUUAAUAAAAUAUUGGGGAAAUUAGGAGCCGGCCUUGAAAACUAAAAGGCCUGUGAAGGUCCAGUCUGUUAUAUCCAGCGUUGAUUAGUGGGCCUCGAAUCGAUCCGGGUUUGAAAAUUUCAUCAGUGCACGUCAAAUUCCAGAAGCACGUUAACAUCAUUUACCUGAAUAUUUCACUUCGAGACUCAGGAACGCCACGUCAUAACUUUAAGUUAAUUUCUAUUGAUUAGUUUCAUCAGUAAAACUAAAAUUCGUUUAGGAUCCAAAUAAUCGUUUGUUUUCAAAUAUUUUUAUAAAAUAACACAAUGCGCCCUCAUAUUCAUAAAAAAAGUACAGCUUUUAUAUAUGGGCGAUUGUGUAGAUUUUUAUUGUCAAUUCGCGGUAAAUUUUAAAUCCUCCAUCAUAUCAUACAAAUAUUUAUCGAUUAUUAAUAACUUUUACCUCGGUUUAGUCUUCAUAAAACCUCCUUUUGGAAAAGUUGUACACCCAUAUUUUUUAAAAAGAACUGUUAUUAAAUAUUUGUACGAAACUCUCGUUAUAUCGAACCUUAACAAAAAUAUUAUUUUUUAUAUUAUAUCUUAAGACAUACAGAUAUCAAAAACAUUGUAAAAUAGUCAUCUAAAAUCUACAAAAUCACUUAAAUUUUCUAGUGUCACAACAAUUUUAAACAUCACUAAUAAAAAAACGGGAAAUUCUUGAUGGUACCUUCGUAGAAUUGGUUUUUCUCAAUGGAUGGUACGCUCGUACUUUUAAUUUACUCUUUAUGGUACCCUCGUGUACUUUUUAUUUACUCUCUAUUGAUUUUAAACUGUAAAACAAAUUGUAUAUUUGAAAUCUUUGCGAAAAAUUACAUAAAAUAGACCCUUAAAUCAUGUAAAACAGAGUCAAAAUGUAUGAGAUAUAUUCAAACUUGGAGGGUGUUUGUUUACGGCUUUUAAGCCCAACUUCUGGUUUAUAAGUUAGAAGCACUCAUUUAUACCGUUUAUGUAAAAAGUCAAGAAGCACUUAUUAAAAGCUAGGAAUGCUAGCUUUUGUUUUAGGACUUUUACUUAUUUCCUAAACACUUUAAUUACUUAUAAGUCUUAACUUUGCUUCUAACUUUUACUCUAUUUUAUUAUUUUAAACAAGAAGCACUUAUUUUAAACUCACCCAAACGGUCCCUUCAUAACCAAACUUUGUCAUUAAUAUCUCACUCAUUUUAACUCUGUUUUACAUGAUUUAAGGGUAUAUUUUAUAUAAGUUUUCGUAAGGAUUUCAUAUAUACAAUUUGUUUUACAGUCUGAAAUCAACAGAGAGUAGAUCAAAAGUACACGAGUGUACCAUAGAGAGUAAAUUAAAAGUACGAGGGUACUACUUGUAGAAGUCAAAAAUGCGAUGAUACCAUUGAGAAAAGUCAAUUCUAUGAGUGUACCAUCAAGAAUUUCUCUAAAAAAAUCUUAAUUAUAUUUUAUUUAGUUGGAUACUUAUUUUCUCGAAUCAAUAUAGAUGCGUACUUUAUAUAUUACAGUGAAUCACAAAUUCUAAGAUAAAACAUCUUAACUAUACAUAUUAUAAUUUUCGCAGUCUGUUUUAUAUAAUAUAGUGACAGUUAAUAUAAGAAAACAAUCGACCUUUACACUUUACUACAUUUCUAGAAUACAAUAAUAUCCUGAAAUAAAAUAAAAAUUCAUAUCAACUGUCCAUGGCAUAGAAAAGGUAGGAGUGUAAAAUGGAGUACUAGUAUACAAGUAAAAAGUUUCAAAACAUCUAGAGGUCUUGAUAUUCUGUCAAUAUUCUUCUAAACAUUUGAACUGUGGAAAGUUGACUCCAGUGCAAUUUGAUCACCAAGCUUGAUGAUCUUUCACAGAAAAUACAAUAUUUUAAAAUGAAAGCCUAGUCGAAUAGUAUGCUAUUCGUCAGUCAUCACGAUGAAGCCGUAUAUUGAAAUCCAAACUGACUGGAACUUGCUACAAUUUGCAUGUGAUCAUCUAGAACAAGAGCCAUGAGCUUGCACUUUUAUCUCAAAUGCAAAGUAAUUUCUGCAUAAUAUCAUAAAAUUUAUAUUUCUAUUAUAUGUAAUCAAAUAAUAUUCAGAUAUUACCAGUAUUCUGAAAAUCUCUAAUUUAUUGAAUAAUUUUGAAUUUAUCUUUAAAAUAUAAUUUACCGAUUUAUGAUUACAUUUCGAUUUAACUAAAAAUCCUUGAUUUUUGAAAAAAAAUUCCAAUAAAAAUUAGAUCGACAGAUUAGUUACGAUUUCUGAUUUCUUAAAUACUGCUAUAAGUUACGAUGGUAUAAAUAAUUCAAAAUCAUUAUUUAGAAUAUUUAUAAAUAAUAUAGAACAGUUAGUAAAGUAUACAAAAAAAAUUAAAUUUUGUAUUUAAAAAUAAUAUUGCCAACAUAAUUUUUUCAAUCCUAAUUUCCUUCUAUCUAAUUAAUAAAAAAAUUGUGUCAAAAAGCUGUCGUGUAAUUUAUUAUAAGUGAAAAAUAAAAAUAAUUCAAAGUUAUGAACUAAUCAUCAGAUCUUUUGCGAAUUGUUCCUAAAAACAUGCAAAAUCUAAAUUGUGUCAUUACAUAUCUUAUUAGCUUUAAUUUUAUAGCAAGUCAACUUGACGACCUUCUCGAAUAUUGUCCAGAUUAACGUCUUUAUAACGACUACUUCUCAAGCUAAUUAAACAUAGCUCUAUAUAAAUACCAAGUGAUACUUAUCAAAGUUCAUAAGCACGCAACAUACCUCAUUAAUUCCUCCUGCUUAAUCAACCAGAAAAUCAAUUACACCAAAAUUCGAAAUGCAAACAUCUUCAUUCAUUCCAUCAACACUCCCGCCUCCGCGUUUAUUAUUUUCCACGAAGACGAGGAGUGCAAGAACAAUCACUUAUCAGAGACGACCAGCUAUCAUGGCGGUUAAAAGAGAUAAUCAAGAAGACAAAAAGUACAAGGGCAACAUGGUGGAUGAGAAUAUGAUUGUUUUGAGAAUGCGGAUUCAUGAUAUCAUGUCGAGUGAGAAGAGCGAAGAGCUGCCAACGGAUUGGAUGGAGUGGGAGAAGCAAUAUUAUCAAGAGAGCUAUAAGCUGGAUGUGAGUGAAGCACUAGGGUUUUUGCAGAAUUUGUUGAUGCGGACCAGGCCCAGCUUGGCCUUGGGUGUUUUAGCUCUUUUGAUGAUCUGUGUUUCGCAUUCGGCGUUCGUGGUUGCAUUGAAUUUUAUGAACAUGACACUGUAAAUACUUGUGAAGGAUACUAGAGACUUGAUUUUUGCCCAACCGGGUUUUUCUAUUGAUCGAUUGUUGAGAAUAAAAAAGUGUUGGAAUGGUGAUAAUCAGGAGAGGUCUUGAUUUUAAGUCUUUCAUAUUCUCAUUACCUUCGCUUAUAUGUCCGGUAAAAUCAGUGAAAUAUCUAAGAUUUGAUUUCAAGUGUUUUGUAAAUUUGAUUGAAGAAAUGUUAACGGGUGCUAAUAACAAAAGUUCAUACAAUUGAUUUUAAAUGCUGUAUACAAAUUUGAAUGAAGAAAUACUAACGAAUGCUAAUAACAAAUUAUACGAAUGCUAAAAAAUUCCUACAUCAAUUAAUUUUAAUUAAUGAUUUAUACAAAUUUGAUUGCAGAGAUAUUAACAUAUGCUAAUAAUAACAAAAGUUCUUAUAGCAAGCAAUACUUUAGUAUCACAUUAUACAUCGGAAAACAGCUUCAUAAAAGAAACAGAAUCGAAACCGAUCAACCUGAGUUUAAUAUGACAUGACUAUUCGACCAGAGUCAAAGUGACACUUAUUUUAGGAUGGAGGGAGUAUUUUAGGACGGAGGGAGUAUAAAAGAUGAAUUUUUUUUAAAAUUUGAGAUUUGUCACACAUUAAAGAGGCAGCUUUUAUUAACUGAAAUACAAGUAAGCAUGCAAAAGAUAAAGGAAGGGGAGUGCUGCUAGCUGUAGGGAAUCCAGCUCCGGCAUUGCAGAGAAUUAUGAAUCAACUCAAGCCGCAUCGAAUCCAUCUUGCAGAAUCAGAAACCCUAGUUCCACAGCCUGCAAUUUAAAUAAACUAAAUCGGCACAACAAUAUAUAUUAAUCCCCACAGGUCACCUUCUACAAAAAUUACCAGCUAGUAAACAUAUAGCAAUAAAUUAUAAGAAACUGAUAAUUCCCCUAAUUAUUGAAAGCUGAUAAUCUCCAUUUUCAAGCUAUCAACAAGGCUUCUGAUACUAAUUAUACAGCUAAAGUUACAAAAAUAUUAAUAUUUGCUAUACGGUCAAAGCACCUAAAGUUACUAAAAAGUCAAACGCCCUGAAUAAUGAACCAGAGGGAAUACAAUAGCUAUGUAUAUAUUGGGAGCUCCCUUCAGUCCAAGACGCGACGGCAAUAACUGAACACAACCCCUGCAUCGUUCGAUCAGAAACUCAUCUUAGACCUUAUAAUAAAUUUGCGACGAGUUCGUGAACAAACGAGCCAGCAGUUGUGUAAUCAGCCCUCGAACCACCUCGGACUGGACUGAAGAAAGCUCCCUAGUAACAUUAUACACACUAGUAUUCAUGCAGCAGCAAAUUAACAUGCACAUCAAGAACAUUUUAACUAAAUCAUACACUUAAAAUAAACAGAAUAGCAAGACAUAGGGGAGGCGAAUAUAUAGAGAUGAUGGAUGUGGAGAAGAAAAGAAAAGCGGGGACAUGGAAAUGCAAGGGAGAUAAAUUAGCUGUUUGUAACACUGACAAGUGACAAGUGAUGAGAAGAGUUCUCCCAAAUAAUGCUAGUGGUUUAUUUAUCAUGGGAUUGGGCUACUUUUGUAUAUUCCACAAUAAUACACUACUCAUCUAGCUGGCCUGUGUGAUUCAAAUACACCCUUGACCCUUCUCUGUUCCUUGUGUUCAGGGUUUCUGAGACAUAUGUAAUGCUUCAGAAUUAUUGAUAUUGUUAAUAAUAAUAAUUGUCGGUAAAAAAAAUUGUUUAAAGAAAAAUCAAUAUUUUACAAAAAAAUAUGCGAAAACAGAAGUUUUCUCAGUAUUCCGUUAACUAAAAUCACAAUAAGUCUCGUCAUGUUUAUAAUUGAUAUCGACAAUAUCAAUACCACAUAUGCAGUGGUCCAUUAUGGUGAAAUCUUGGAAUGAGAAACCUAUGGUGAUGGUGAAGGGACCUAUUUUUCAAGAAUCACGUCUUUGUUUGAUGUUUCUUCAAUCUUACGAAUAAAUCUGAAAUUCCCAAUUAAUCUCAGUCCAAGUCCUAAAUUAUAAACCUUAUUCCGUUAUAAAUCAUUGUUUCAUUAUCAAUCAUAAUUAAUUUUAACAACCCUUGUCGAAUCUUGUUAUCAUUUAAUUACAAAUAAUUAUUAUAAUUACCUAUAAGAGUACAAGAUCUUACAGAUACGUGCCACAAAUUAUCUUUUAACAUUUGUUUAUUGGGUCAUUAAACCUAGAUACUUGAAAUCAUUGAGUACCUUUUCCGGUAUCAGUUAGGGUUUGAAGCAGAACCUAAUAUGAAUUUCUUUUCAGAAAUAAUAUUAAAAUCUACUUUUAUGUCCCAAUUAAAUAUAUACGUUUUUUUCUGACACGCAUUUUAAAACUCCUUUAAAAUAUAGUUUUAUAAUAUUUUUCUAAAAUUUUUUUUUUUUUUGAAUAAAAAUUUGAUGUCUAAACUUUUAUUCCAUAAUCAAAAUUUAAAAAAAUAUUAAAAAACUAUAUUUUAUAAUAAUCUCAUAAUAAAGUGCUGUCCGGGACAGAUGGAGGGAGUAGUAUAUAUGUUGGUGAGACAUGAUUAGCUAGUGAAAUUGAGUAUGCAUCGUGAACAAAAUUCUGAAAACAAAUCCGGGUCAAAGAAACAUUCAAGCACUUGAAGACUACAAAGUUUUCCUUCCUAUUGAAACCCUAGUUAGAAACUGGAGCUAAUCAUACAGUAAAAACACAUGUACUACAAGUUCUUGUUCUCAUGACAAGUACCCACAUAUAUCACCUUUCUCAACAGCUUUCAUGCAUGUUUAACCUACUAGCUAGUUUGUUUCAUAUUUAGUUAUUCUGCCGACUCCCCAACCCUAACUAAAAGAGUUGCUUCUCAACAAUCUGGUUCCUGUAAUUACCAAAUAAGUUCACAACCAAAAUCAAAAUUUGAGAUUUAGUUGUUUUUUGCCAUCUUGGUUUGUUUCGUUUGAAGCUCCACUGGCAAGGUCGUCCUUGUUCACAUGCAGCAUGAAGUGAGAGAGAAAGAGAGAGACAGAGAGAGAGAUAAAAAAUACUAUUGAAACUCUGAAGCCAGAGGACCUGAAAGAUACUGCAGCAAAAGCCAUAGCUGGCUACAUAUAGAGAUUGAGUAGCUUGUUUUCAUCACUCCCACCGUUGUGGGACCGAAAGGGUAAGUGUUCUGUAAAAUCUGAGCUCUAUGUUAAGUUUUUUGUGUUGUCAUAUCGUUUGUCAAUUCUAUUUCAAAUUUUCCAGUUAAUUUAAGGGGUCUUUUGGAUGAGCUUAAGCAAAACGACUUCUUGCUUAAAAUAAAAAAUUGGAAUAGAUGUGAGAAAUUAAGAAUUAUAAGUUAUUAAAGUGUUUAGAAAAUAAGUAGAAGUCUUGAAAGAAAAGCUAGAAUUUUAGGUUUUUAUAAGGGCAUCUGAAUUCUUUAUACAAAUGGUCAAGAAAACCAAAAGCUUACUUAUUGUUAAAAAAAAGUGCUUUUAUUUGUUAGCCAAACACGCCCUAAAUUUUGCCAUUUGCCCAUUUCACUAUAGACCUCCCUCCUCCUUCAACAUGCUGAUGAUAAUUUUUCUUAAAUACUCUAUACAUCGAAAUAUGUUAUAUUUUUCUAAAAUAUAACCCCCGCUUUAUUAACUUUUAUUUUUCAACUAGCCAUAUUAUAAAGAUAGUCCAGAACAUAUGUAUGUUAGUAACAUAUAUACGACACGAAAAAAAAAACGUUGAACGUGAAGAAUUUAGAGUUAGACAAUUUUCCGCUAGAUGAUACUGUAGCACCCCUGUGUAUACAUCAAAAACUUAAGAUCAAACUGUGCAACACUUGUAUGCUGUUAACAUAUGCGACACGAAAAAAAAGCGUUGAACGUGAAGAAUUUAAAGUUAGACAAUUUUCCACCGAAUGAUAUUGUAGCACCCCUGUAUAUACAUCAAAAACUUAAGAUCAAACUGUUCCAAUGUUUUUUUCCACUGAAUAUAUGCUGUUAACAUAGGGCUCAGAAUCUGAUAUAUACCUAUUAUAAAUGAUUAAAUUAAAUACCAUGCAUGUUUUCAUGUAAAGUAGGAUCAAAUUUUAAUCGAACUUAUUAGCCUUGUUUUCGUGUAGUGUCUACUUCUACACUUACCUGUUUCCUGUUUGCAGUUCGCAGCUAAACCCUACGUUACAUGCUCAUACAGUAUCAUUCUUCCGAAUCAUACCACAGCUGUCUUGAAUUUUUUGCUUUUUUAUCCUGGUAAGAUAGCUGUCUGGUUAAAUUUUGAAAAACAUGUCACUAUUUGAAACUUUACACUGUGCACGUACUAAACUGAGGCUCAGGAGAGUACACUUCAUCCUGCCCUUAAAUCUCAGACUUUUGACAUUAAAAUAUGUGCAAAUAGGAGUAUAUAAGUAUGGGAAAUAACUUCCAAACACGAAGCAACAGAAAACAUAUCAUGUGUCUGUGUUUCUAUUUCUUCUGAGUGACAUACUCCUAUUAUUUUGAAACUUUGAGAGGUGUCCUACUGUCCUCACCUGACUCUGCAGAGAGGCUGGGACUAAUUUUCAAAGAAAGACCCUGCUCAACUCUCUUCAAACUGAGAAAAUUUCAAGUUUAAGCAAGUGAUUUAUGUAAAUCUAGAUUUCUCCCCUGCACGCGCACCGUGGGUGUUGGAGCAAUAUAUUGACAACACAUGUGAGUACUCCAUGAAUGUUUUGCUAUAUAAAAUCAGAUAUUCUCCUUUGCAAUGUCAAUGUGGGACUUCUAACACAUUCCUAUUUUUUCAUUUCCAAGAGACCAACUUUGGAUACUUUUAAUUUAUCUCAUUCAAAAUGCCUUGGAAAAAUGUCUAGAAAAAGAACGCUAUCUAAGCGUCACUCGUUGUGCGCACACAACAAUUAUUUCUCAAAUAUGUGACUCAAAAUCGACAUAACAAUAUGAGGUGAAAAACCCACAUUUUCCAACAGUUUCUUCUUUUUUUCUCUCUCUUCUUCUGCGGAUCUUAUCCCUUGACUAGAAUUUCUUUUCAAUCGUCUGAUUAAACAAACGACUGAGUUGGAUAGUUUAUGUGCAUACAGGAAAUCCAAUUAUCACUAAUAUAAGUUAAACCUAUCCAACAUCGUCAACUAGAAUUUGACAAAAAUAAUUGAAAAUAUUUUUCAUUAAGAUCAGCCGCCCCUUCAUCACGUCAAUCGGAAAAGAAACUAAAAUAUGUAGCAUUACUAUUUUAAUAUGUUUCAUAAACUUAAAAUUGGGAUGAUUAUGACAGAAGACUAUGACCGGCAGGGGAUGGGAUUGGGUCAGCCCAACACGAGCUUUGGACCACACACAGGUACCCCACUAACUAAAUGUUUCCCUAUUCAAGCCCACAGGAAAGUUAACCCAGGCUCUUUCUAAUGGGCUAUAAACUACGGCCCUGAACAUGUCGGAUAUCUAAUCUUUUUUCCUUUUUUUGAAGGUCCAAUAUCUAAUUUCUUUUCUUUUUAAUAAGGGCGAAAAUCUCAUUUCGAAUGUACUAUUUGCACGCAAAAUUAACUUUACUUAUCAUUUGGAAUAGAUAGAUUAUUAGAAUGUUAUCUACCUUAAGUAUAAAAAUUAAUACAGCAAAAAUAAAUAUCAUCACAUUUUAAUAAGUUGAAGCAAGUAGAUAAAAGUUAAUCGAACAAAUCAUUUCGAACCUCUUUGUUUAGAGCUGAAGUCAGCUUACAACGAUUUCUAAUUUUAAAUUGAAAAAUAUUGUUUGUAUAAUAUAUUAAAAAUUAAUUUUAAAAAAAAUAUAAGUCAGAAACUGAUUUAAAAUAAAAAAUUAGUUUUAGAUGAUAUUUUCAGUAAUUUAUUUUUAUAAAAUUACUCAUAAAUCAUAAAUUAUCCAUAAAUUAUUUUUAUUUUUGUUAUAUUUUUGUUAUAUUUUUAAAUCCUUAUAAAUUAUUAAUAAAUCAAAAUUAAGUACACAAACAUUUUAAACUCCCAACUUAUAAUCAUAUUAAAUACGUUAAAUCAUAAAUCGUAAAUUUAAAUUCCUCUUAGUUCAACCAAACUUAAGAUCAUAGUAUGCGCCUAAAUUGCACCCUUUCCCCCUUGUGUUAAACGUGUUUGAAGUCCGUGCUUCAAAUUGCUUGACUGUAAUCUGAUUCCAAGUUUUCUUUCGAUUGAGCUGAAUUUCAAAUUUAAUUGUCAACGAACGAAAGUGUUGGAGACGUAUAUAUCACGGGUCAGAACGAAGGACUCGUCUUUGGUCAAAAUGAUUCUAAGGUGGCUUUUAGAGUACUUAAAAAAAAAGGUGGCUUUUAGAGUGAUAAAUGACAAAGCAAAGAAAUAUGAUGUGAAACAAAAGUUGUUAUAAUUAAUUUAUUUUUAGUUAUAACAUAAUAAAAGUUUAUAUAAUUAAUAUUCAGAUAAAUAUAAAAUAAAUUAUUUAACUUAAAAAUUAAUAUACUAAUAUAAAUAUCCUAAGUUGUUAAAAAAAUAUAUUUCUGAAAAAUAUCAAGACUCACAUUUGUAAUCCUGAACAAUUUCGUUUGUCCAUAAUUAAAAUUCUUAACUGAAAAACACUUUUGAGGAUGGCGUGUCUAAAGGACCUUCAAAUUGUUUGACUGUAAUCUGAUAGUAUUCUGAUUCCAAAUUUUCUUUUAAUUCAGCUGAAUUUUUAGAAUUAAUGUCAACCAAAGUGCAGGCUGAGCAUUAUGGGUCCAAACCACGACUCAUAUUUGGUCAAUUCUAAGGUGGCUAGUUUCAAGUGAUAAUUAAACGGUGGGAUUGUCCCGAAGUUUUGAUGAAAACUGUUAGUGUUGUCAGAGAAGGGCCUAAAAAUUAGAUAACUAUUUAAUAUUUUAUAUUAUAAAAAUAAAAUAUUUUUGAUGAAAUUUGAUAAUGAAAUUUAUAAUAAUUUCCCAUAAAUAUUGAAAAACUCUUUUUAAUUCGUAUGGUCGAAGAUGCUCUAACAAUGCCAAACAUCAAAAGAAACUUUAAUUUAUAAUAAACGCCGACAAAUAAACACUCGUGGAGGCUAUAAUUAAUUUAUUAUACAUGUUCAUGUGAUAUUUUGCACCAAAUUUCUUCUCUCUUUUCUUUAGCCGCCUCGCUCUUUUCACAUCCCGACGGGGCUUUCACCGAUUUUUCGUUGGAAAGCCCCAAAUCCUUCCGUUUAAUUACUUGUUCUUUGUUUGCUCUUAUUUGUUUCAUUGAUUUUCUCAAUAAAACUCCCUCUUUGGGCAAAGUUAUCUUAGAUCUAUAUCAUCGAAACUUUUCAUUUUCGCUCUUAUUCGCUUUCAGAUGGAUUUUUGAAUUUGUGAGUGGAUUGAUCAUCUUCUAGUGUAGUUUCGUGGUGCAGAUCUAAUCAUCUUAGUAUGCAGUUGAAUUUUCUCUCGUGUGUUAUUUUGAUCUCUCUCCCUAGUGAGAGCGUGUGAUUUUUCUCUCCUUCUUUUGUCAAAGUUGGUUUGGAUUUCGAUAAAAGUCUUACGGUAAUUACAUUUGUGGUUGAUAGCUCAAACGGAUUUUUUGAAAAAGGUAGUGAACACAGAGUAAGGAUCUAUAAAUAGACCAUCGUCAAUUUCAACACCGCUUAUUUGUCUCAUCUUAAGUACGAAGACAGACGUGUUAAUCUAUUCUAUGUUAAUCUAUUCUAUGUUUGUUCGACUCUGUCGUUCUUGUAGAUGUCGUAUGACUGUUAUUUAUUGAAUUAUUAUUUUUUUAAAAAAGAAUUGUAUGUAAAAAAUUCUUAAUAUUAGUAAUUGUUUUUGGUGAACUUUUUUAUAUAUACUUCAGUGAAAUCAAAAAUUAACUCAACAAUUUUUUUUUUGAAAUGAAAAAUUAACUCUACAUUACUCGUUUAGAAAAAUUUCAUACGAGAAUAAUAACUUUUUUAAAGUAAAAUUUAACGGGCCACAUAAAUUUAAUUUGAGACGGAAAAGGUAGGACCUAAUGAAUGAGUUGAGUGGAGGACAAAAUGCUGAUAUAAUUAAAUGCAAAUGAAAGGAAUCUAGACACCCAGUGAAUUGGGAAUAUGCGGAGAAUGGGGGCUAUGUUAAGCAAGGCCCAUGCCUUGUCUCAAACAGAGACAAUGACCUCUCUUAUGAUUCUUUUCUUACACACUACAAGUUCCAAAGCAACAAUAAUUUAUAUUUUCCGCCCUUUCAUUUAAUUUUAUAUAUUUUUUAUUUUUUUCAUGAAUAAAUUCUAGUUUAUUUUAUAUAUUUUUACUUUUUAAUGAAUAAAAUUUUUAAUGACAAAUUUUAUUUAGAAACAACAAAUUUACUAAAUCAUAAAAUUAUAUUUUGCAGAAAUAUUAAAAUAGCAUUACCGUCUCUCAAUAUAUAUGCUCAGGGGCCGAGGGAGUAGUAAUAUUUACACACAACUAAAUACAAGAAAUAACUCGUAAAUUUAUUUGAAAUUCUGUAUCAAAUGACAUUAUCCAUCUAUAAAAAGUUAGAAUUUGAUUUUCAUUUAAAAUUUUGUAUUUGAUAAAAUAACAUUAUAAAUAUAUAAAAAAGUUCAAUUUGAAUUUUAUUUGAGUUACACAUUUCAAAUGACGUUUAAUAUUCUAUAUUUCAAAAUUGGAGAUUUGUUUAGCUUUUUAUGUUUAAAGAUAUCGAAUCAUCAUAUAUGUUACUUCAAAAAUAAAGAUUUAAAUUCCUUAUAAAUACUCAAAAUUUGUCGGAGGCAUAUAACCUCUGUAAUUUCCGGUUACCGGUUUCCUCUUGGGUUCCUAUCCCACCAAUCUUCUUUUAUAAAUUGAAGUGCCCAAACACCAAAAAUAUGCACACAAGAGAAGUCCCAAGUUUUUCAAUAACCUAACAAUCCAAAACCCUACCAUCACCCAUUUCUCUCAAUCCAAUCCUCUCACCACUAAUUCAAUUUGCAAUCUUUCCCAUAUCUCUCUUUUCCCACAAAAGCUUCUUUCUUCAUUGUUGAAAAAGCUUCCUCUUUUACUAUCCUCCCCUCUUUUUUGAUUCUCAAAACCCUAAUCUCUAUCCCCCCUCUGCAAUGCUAUAGCCCUUGAGCAAUUAGCACUCAUUUUUGGACUCCCAAAUCAUCUUUAUUCAUAAAGAUUCAAUUUUUAUUCAUCCCCAUCAAUUCAUUUUCAUAAAGAUUUGAUUUUUAGUUAUACCCAUCAAUUAAUUUUCUUAAAGAUUCGGUUUUUAUACACACCCUUGAUUUUGUUUGCGUAAAGAUUCAAUCUUUAUUGAUUUUCUUGAUAACAUGGCUCUUGCACACCCUCGUUUUAUUGGGACUAACAAGCCAAAAGUUGAUUCUUGUCAAAUGGCUUCUCCACAAUCACCAGUGAUUUUGACCCAAGAUGAAUUGAAGAAGAUUGCAGCUUACAAAGCUGUGGAAUUUGUCGAAUCGGGUAUGGUUUUGGGGUUAGGAACCGGGUCUACAGCUUGUCAUGCUGUGGCUCGAAUUGGGGAGCUUUUGCAACAAGGCAAGCUCAAGAACAUUGUAGGAAUACCUACGUCGAAAAAGACUCAUGAGCAGGCUGUUUCGGUGGGAAUUCCCUUGUCUGAUCUUGAUAAUUACCCGGUUCUUGAUCUCGCGAUAGACGGGGCAGAUGAGGUUGAUCCUUAUUUAAAUUUGGUUAAGGGGAGAGGUGGGUCUUUGUUGAGGGAGAAAAUGGUGGAAGGUGCUUGCAAGAAAUUUGUUGUAAUUGUCGAUGAAACAAAAUUGGUUAAGCAUAUAGGUGGGAGUGGAUUGGCUAUGCCGGUUGAGAUUGUGCCCUUUUGUUGGAAAUUUACUCUCGAGAGGCUUCAAAUGAUGUUUAUGGAUGCAGGGUGUGUUGCUAAGCUGCGGAGGUUUAUUGAAAAUGGUGAACCUUUUGUUACGGAUAAUGGGAAUUAUAUAAUUGAUUUGUAUUUUGAGAAAGAUAUUGGGGAUUUGAAGGUUGCUAGUGAUGAAAUUUUGAGGCUUGCUGGUGUUGUUGAGCAUGGAAUGUUUUUGGAUAUGGCUACGACAUUGAUUGUUGCAGGUGAGCUUGGUGUUACGGUCAAGAAUAAGUAGUUUAGCUUUUAGAGGCUUAUCUAUCAAUUUGCUUAGCUAACGUAUUAGUAUAUCUAUGGAAGGGUGGUAGGGAUUGCCCUGUUAAAUUUGGGCUACAAUGAGUCAAUUGUUGUAUCAGAUACAAUCUUGGAUAUGUGAUUGGGGAUGAUGUUCCGAAAGUUUUGCAAAUUCUUGACAUUUUUGUCUCAUCAUCUAAUUAUUAAUACAUUUCAUUUCCAAACAUAUCAUGGCUUCGUAAUAGUUAUCUUUAAUCUUUUAUUAUUUUUCGCGGUUGGAAUGUUGUGCAUGACAAUAAGUAAUUCUUCAAUCUUGUCUUCAUGUGGAUUGUUUCUGUUAACUAUUGCCUGUAGCAUAUGCUUGGAGUUAACCUGUAUGUUUGUUUUUAACUUUGGUUACUGGUUAACCUGUAUGUUUUGUAUGUUGCUCAUUAAUUUGUUCAACUAAUACAACUUUAUUAUCGAUAAUAAAACUUGUUGUUUUCAUUAUCACCAAUGGAUACCUGUUGGUUGUUAAUCAGCCUUUUUCUCUUUAAGCAUAGGUUUUUUUCCGAUUGAGUGCAUAAGUUAGGAUUGUAUUGUAAGUAGAAUUGAAAACGGUUGUCGUGGUAGGUUUUAUGAUAUUUCUUGAGCAGAGUCUUUCUGGUCGAAGGCAUCAGCUGGCAUCAGAUCUGUAUGUUAGUAGUGGAAAUGGUUAUAUUGCAGUUAGUCUUGUGAUAUUCUAUUGUGUAGUGUGGCUUUUGUGCUAUAUGUUCUAUGUGAUGGAUCCGCUCCAUUCUGUGCGGCUAAGUCUUAGAAGAUGUAACGAAGCAGACAUUGUACAUCCUAUCCUAGCCAGUUUUAGUUAAUUGUAGACCUAGGAACAUCUGAACUACCAAAGUACCUUCUGAUAGUUUGAUAUUUUACUGGUAGAAACUUAAUUGGAUUAGAUGCAUCCAAUUAAGUUUCAAACCUCUGAGCAAGUAGACAUUUUUCAUGAACCACCCUUCAAGUAAUACAGGUGAAGGUUUUGUUUAGACUCGCAGAAAUAAACCAGCAAGCUGAAUAAGUAUAAUUAGCGGAAUCGUCUCAACUUGCAGUAAUCCAAGCAAUUGAUGUAUGUAGUAAUUCAGGCAUGCAGAAGAGUAGCUGUUCUGAACUCCCUUGACAGAUCAGGUUUUCCCUAGCUUGAGUAUCAUAUUGAAGUAUUAGUUAUCAUUAGUGUCCACCACAAAAGGCAUAGCAACUAGCAAGUGUUGGUUUAUUUUAGAUUUUAGAUUGCAGCAUCAUAUCCAUUGCAAUAACAGUGUAGCUGCAGUUGCACUCACUCAGCAUUUGAUAUGGCAGAAGCUCAAUUUGAAUGUUACAGAAUCAGUCCAGUGGUCAUUAUCAAAUAUCAACCACGUGAGUUUGUUUAGCUGAAAAAAAAUAAUGACUGAUCGAUUUCAAUUUCAACCAGAUUUUAUAAUUUGGAUUUUAAUUAAUUUCCUAGGUUUGCUGAAACAGAGAUUUAUAUCAUAAAAGAAGUAGUUUAAAUUUACCUGAACAUGACAUGUGAACUCAACUUGAGUUACUCAAGUAAUCAACUUUCCUUGUAAUAAAGAAUAAUAUAUAAAAAAGUAGUCAUUAAAAAUGUGUGACACUGAAUUAUUGACGAUAAAAAGGUAAAUAAAAUAUAUAACUGAAAUGAGCAUUAUUUUUUAAAAUGUGAGUUAUUUUUUUAGUUUAAAUAGAUCGGAAUGAAAUGACUGAUCAAACGAAAAAUAUAUACAUAUUCUUCGUCAACCUAAUUUAUCGUAUAAAUCUUAUUUAUAUUAUUUUAUUCAAAUGAAAAUGGCCUUAAUUUUACGGAAUAAAAUACAUCCAACUUAUUUACCUGCCUUAAAUAUAUGUUGCUAAACAUCGUGAUUUUUGGAAAUGAUUUUAAGAUUAAAAAGAUUUAUAGUACUCCCUCCGUCCCAUUGGAUUGUUAACAUCACUUUUUGGCACGCUUUUUAAGGCCUCAAUAAAAUAUAGCUCCAUGAUGUUUUUUUUUAUAAAAAAAAUUCUGAAUAAAAGUUUGAUGUCUAAACUUUUAUUCAGGAAAAAAAUAAAUUUAAAAAAUAUUAUAUUGCUAUAUUUUAUAAAAGCCUCAAAAUGCGUGCAAACAGUGUAAGUUAACAAUCCCACCGGAGGGAGUACUAUCUUAUUAUCGGACACUGUCACUAUAUUUUAGUUUGAAAAAAUAUAGAAGUGCUCUCCUUUUCACUGUUCACUUGGCUUGUUUCGAGUUUUGGCAGCUCAGCUGUUUCAGCUGUUCCUUUCCUUCACAGCCCAACAAUAUCUCAGGUCUCUCCCUCCCUCUCUCUCUCUCAUUGUGUGUGUUGAAUUUUUAAUGGUUUCUUUCUGUGAAAUAGUAUAUGGGGUUUCUUUAUUUUGAUGUAUGUGAAUUGGUUUUUUUUUAUUCUUGAUAUUGAUUGUAAUGUCACCAGAAUUAAUCUUGUAAAGUUUUGUGAUUUUUUUGAUGGCUAAACGGGGUUUCUUUGUUUUGAUGUUUGAGAAUUGGGUUUUCUCAAUUCUUGAUAUUCAACUUUGAAUUCAAUGGCAAUUGGCACCAGAAUGGCUCUUUAAAAUUUGGAUUUUUUUUUUUUGGUUAUUUAUAAUCGAGUAAUAGUGUGUUAUUUGAAUGUGUUUGAUGUAUGGAACUAAGUUUGAGCUUAUGUUUUAUGUUUGAUUGUGCUGAAUUGGAUUAUUUUGUUUUCAUUAUUUUGUUAUAAGAAAUUGGUUUGGUUUUGAGAAUGGUGUAGGAGAAGCAAAUUUAGGGAGGUGGAGAAGUGGAAUAUCAAGGGGGAUAGGAGAGGGUCCCUGUCAAGGAUCGAGCCAUUUGUUUUGGCAGAGGAGAGAUCGAGCCAUUUGUUUUGGCAGAGAAGAGGACAAACAAGCUGACAUGCUUUCGGGAUUUAAGAAAUAUCAGGGUGGAUGGGACAUUGGUAAUAAGCAUUACUAGAUUGUGAGUGCUUUUCUCUUUAGUUAUCGCUCUUGGAUAUAUAAAGUUAUGUGUGUUUCUAAAUGUUUAGCUCUGUUCUGUUCUAUGUUUCUCCCAAUUAUACUAUUAUUUAAUUUUGUGGAAUAGUUAGUGAGUAAGAUAAAAUAUAUCAGGCAAGAUUCAUAGACUUCUGUUCGGGAGUAGAGACCUACAGGCUACAGUCUGUGUGUUAAACUUGAUGCUAGAAAUUAGGAAAGACAUUGAUUCUUGUUAAGACCUUCCACAGCCAAGAAGAAAGAGAAAGAAAUACAGUUUCUGUUAAAGUGAGAGUAAUUAGUAAGAAAUAUGAUUUGAGCUCUAGGAGAAUGAUUAUAGUAGGUAAUCACGGUUCAGUGUAGGCAUAUGAGGCCAGCUGUUCUAAAACACACACCUGCAGGGCACUGGCCUGCGGCUGUUGGAGUCCUCAAAACACUCACAAAAUGAAAAUGUAAUUAAUUAUAAACAGAGAGGAGUGAAUUCCAAUAAAAGAGUAGUAUUAUCCUAGUUCUUAUGAAACUGCACUAUUCAUCUAUGAUUAUCAUAGGAUUUGUCUGAGAAAUAAUCAAAUAAGGCAUCACAACCUGGAUUGUUUGUGAAACUUGAUUAGGCAAUAUAUGAUUACUUGAAUUCCCAGUCAUUACCAUUUACCAGUGUCAUCCUUAAAGUAAUCAUUGUGGACCUUAUCAUAUUUGCUGCAUGAAUAUAUAUAUAUAUAUUUCUAUACAUAUCUAUAUAUUUUUGAAGGUCUGUGGCGCAGUGUGUAUUAAAUUAUAGAUAUGUACUAGUUGUUAAAGUUGUUGCUAAUUUUUAGUCAUGCAUUUCUUACACCGACUGUCACAAAUGCAUUGCUUGCUGCUUAAGUUGUAUAACUCACACAUAUUAUGCAAUGCUAUUACUUUUCUUGUAAGAAUUAUCUUUUAUUAUCUUUUGUAUCUGACAAAUGCACUGCUCUUGGUUUAUGUCAUUUAGAAUUGUUCUUUGUGUACAUCAAUGCUGUAUGGCUGUCAUGCUGUGGGUGGAGAAUUGGUAUCAAAGGAAAAGAAUCUCCAUAUUCUGAAAGAAUAUUCUUGAUCUUGCUUAUAGACUUCACAUGUGCUGCAGGGUAAUAAUCUUGACACUACUUUAUGGCCUUCAAUUCUAGAUACUUCUAAUUUUCCUCGUCCUAAUGUCUGUUUGCACUUUACUUCUUUCAAUCUUGAUUCGUUUUCUUGGUAAGCCUAUCCGGUUGAGAUUGCUUUCACAACAAUACUUAUUAGUUAUAGUUUAUCUUUUAUCAUGAAUUACAUUAGUCUCUUAUAUAAACAUCGUGGUAUACCUAAAAACAGAAAUAACCCAUGGAUUCAUAAUACUUUUACUAGCAAGUGUUUGAUUCAGCUAACAUCACUCUUACAUUUACAAAAUAAUAAAAGCAGGAUCAAUCAAUUCAUCUAAUGCUGUUUCUAAGAGUUUAUAUACCGGACAAUAUGUCUUUUAUCCCCCCAAUUGCCUUGUAAUAUUGAAAUAUGGCAAGGGGAGCUGAAGACCAUCGGCCCGUACUAAAUUGACCUCUCAUGCUUUUCGCACUUUCUUCAAACUAAGAGUUCCUUUGUUUGGAUCAUAUAUUUCUUCAUGCAAGACUUUGGUGCACUGGACUUAAUAAUUCCAUUCUAAAGACAAAUUAUAUGCACAAAGAAUCCAGAGAUUAUAGUUUUUUGUUAACACACCUUUUCAUGUGUGCCAUGACUUAGGUGAUCAUUUCUGUUCCGGGUUCCGUAAAUCCAGCAUCCCCCUCCNNNNNNNNNNNNNNNNNNNNNNNNNNNNNNNNNNNNNNNNNNNNNNNNNNNNNNNNNNNNNNNNNNNNNNNNNNNNNNNNNNNNNNNNNNNNNNNNNNNNNNNNNNNNNNNNNNNNNNNNNNNNNNNNNNNNNNNNNNNNNNNNNNNNNNNNNNNNNNNNNNNNNNNNNNNNNNNNNNNNNNNNNNNNNNNNNNNNNNNNNNNNNNNNNNNNNNNNNNNNNNNNNNNNNNNNNNNNNNNNNNNNNNNNNNNNNNNNNNNNNNNNNNNNNNCCCCCCCCCCCCCCCCCCCCCCCCAAAAUGAUUAAUGCAUUUAUCAGCUUGGGUUACACUAGCUUGAACUUGAGAACAUGGCUGAAGUAGCCAAAUUAAAUUAACCAUAAACCAAUAGUAGUAUGAUCAAUGAGUUGAGGGGAUGCUAAAAUCUGAUAUUACUAAAGCAAAUGUUGGGAAUCUAGAAGCCCAGUGAGUUGGGAAUAUGCGGAGAAUGGUAGCAAUGAAAGCAAGGCCAAUGCCUUGUUCACCUCUCUAUCUUAUAAAGUUAAGGAGACCUCUCCAUUGAUUUCCUUUUCAUAUAGUAAGUCACAAAAUCACAUUAAUUUAAUCUAUCAUAACACGAUUGUAUAUAAAUAAUUUUCAACUUUUUUUAAAUAUGAUCAUUAACAAUCCAAUACAUUAUAAAAAAUUGAAGUGUUAUGCUGAUAUUUUUCUGUAUUUUUCUUAUAUAAGGGUGUUGUUUAUGUACUGUUUAUACUUUUAGUUAUCUAAUUAGAGCUAACUAGCUAAGUUAUGACUUAUGAAUAUAAUCCAAUAUUAUUAUUAUAAAACUAAAUAUGUAGAUUUCUGGUUACCCUCCAGGCCUCCCUCCCUAGUCCAGCCAAUUUUUUCCCUUAUUUUUGCUUAUAAAUUCAAGUGCCCAAACACAAAAAAUAUUCAGACAAAAAACACCCAAUUUUAUCUAUAACAAGCAAUCCAAAACCCUGCCACCACCCUUUUCUCUCCUCUCCCACAUUCUGACAAUCCAAUAUUCUCACAACCCAUUCAAAUUUGUAAUCAUUUCCACAUCUUUCUUUUCCCACAAUACCUUCUUCCUUGAUACAUACAUCAUGUACAGUAAUAUUGCAUGUAUUGUUAAAAAGCUUCCUUUUAUAUCCUCCACUCUUUUUCAAAUCUCAAAACUCUAAUCUUUAUCCUCUCCUCUGCAAUGCUACAGCCCUUGUUUAUUUUUGCUAAAUGCUGCUAUAGCCCUUUAGCAAUUGCCAAUUAGCAACCCAUUUUAGAGCCCUUUAGCAAUUAGCACCCAUUUUAGACCCUUGAUAUCUUCAUUACUCAUAAAGGUUCAAUUUUUAUUCAUACCCAUCAAUUUGUUUUCUUAAAGAUUUUUUGUUCUAACCCUCCAUUUUAUUUCCAUAAAGAUUUUAUUUUUACACACCCCCCAUUUUAUAUCCAUAUAGAUUCUAUUUUUAUUCAAUUUCUUGAUAUUAUGGCAAUUCCCCACCCUCAUUUUAUUGGGACUAACAAGCCAAAAGUUGAUCUUGUCAAAUGGAAUCUUCACAGUCAACUUUGAUUUUAACCCAAGAUGAAUUAAAGAAAAUCGCAGCCUACAAAGCUGUCGAAUUUGUCGAAUCAGAUACAGUUUUAGGGUUAGGAACUGGGUCUACUGCUUGUUAUGCUGUGGCUCGAAUUGGGGAGCUUUUGCAACAAGGAAAGCUCAAGAACAUUGUAGGAAUUCCUACGUCAAAAAAGACUCAUGAGCAGGCUGUUUCGGUUGGAAUUCCAUUAUCUGAUCUCGAUAAUUACCCGGUUCUUGAUCUUGCGAUAGAUGGGGCAGAUGAGGUUGAUCCUGAUUUGAAUUUGGUUAAGGGGAGAGGUGGGUGUUUGUUAAGAGAGAAAAUGGUGGAAGGUGCUUCCAAGAAAUUUGUCGUAAUUGUCGAUGAAACGAAAUUGGUUAAGCAUUUAGGUGGUAGUGGGUUGGCUAUGCCGGUUGAGGUUGUACCUUUUUGUUGGAAAUAUACUCUCGAGAGGCUUCAGAAGAUGUUUGUGCAUGCAGGGUGUGUUGCUAAGCUACGGAUAAUUAGUGAAAAUGGCGAACCUUUUGUUACGGAUAAUGGUAACUAUAUAAUUGAUUUAUAUUUAGAGAAAGAAAUCGGGGAUUUGAGGGUUGCUAGUGAUGAGAUUUUGAGGCUUGCCGGUGUUGCUGAGCAUGGAAUUUGUUUAGAUAUGGCUACUACAUUGAUCGUUGCAGGCGAGCUUGGUGUCACCAUCAAGAAUAAGUAGUUUAGCUUCAUAGUUUUGUCAAUUUAAUUGCUUAGCUAACGUAAUUGAAUAUCUAAAGAGUAGUCAGGAGUUUUCUGUUAAAUUCGGGUUAAAAUGGUCAAAUGUUGUAUAAAAUGUAAAUCAUGGAUGUAUGUUUGGGGUUAAUGUUCCUGAAAUUUUGCCAUUCCUUGACAUUUGGUCUCAUUAUCUAAUUAUCAAUACAUUCCGAUGGCCAGUAUAUCAUGUCUUUGUAAACUAUCCUUUAAGCUUUUAUUUUUCUCUCGUUUAAAAUGUUGUGCAUGACAAUAUUUAUUUUGAUAUCAAUCUUGUCCAUGUGGAUUUUUUUCUGGUAACUUAUUGCUUGUAAUGUUUGCUGUUUUUUUUUUGUUGGGUAACCUGUAUGUUUUGUAUGGUUACUCAGAAAUUCCAUUAACUAACACAGUUUCUUUCGGGGUAAUGCAACUUCUCAGGCUUGUUGUUUGUUGUUUUCUCGGUUGUAUAACUAUAUAAACUUUAAUUCUUGUGCAUUUGCUUUUUCCAGGUAGAUUUUACGUUAACUCGAAUCCGAAAAACUCCAACCCAAAUCAUAUUUUGCUGGUUAAAUUCGUUACGGGUGUUAUACCGUCCCCUUCCUGAGAUUUAAUCUGGCUUGGAUUUGGCGGCAGCUGCACUCACUCAAAAUUGAUGUGGCCAAGGCCCAAUCUGAAUGGUGCAAAAUCAAUACUGGUCCAGUGGAACCAAGAUUUAGCCCAUUACAUGUAAGCAGAGACUAUUGUCAUUUUCAUACAAAUCUAUUCUACAAAAUCUCAUCCCAGGGAGUAUUUAGUAUUUUACAUUCAAAACAAUUUGUUAGGUUUGCUGAUUCAUUUUGUUUUGUUCUUUUGUACACAGAACAAACUUUAACAAACAGAGUCGUAUAUCUUUAGUAAUGGUAGUCUAUUUCAAGUAUUAUCAAGUUAUCAACUUGCCUUAUGCUCACGUUUAUAAAGUCUUCACACAUAUCCUCAAUGUAACUAGCAGGAAAAGAAAUUAAAUGAAAAACAAAAUUGCAUGCAUCACCAGAUGGUUGAGUGCAUCAGAUUAUCAUAGCUAUUCUAGAAACUACUUUCAAUUAUGGGUCCUCGUCCCUGACAACCAUGUGUCAGGGACCGUUUAUAUAACACACACUACCAGGACCGUCGGAAUUCUAUUUGAAGGGUCUGGAUUAUCCGCGGAAGAGAAAAACUCCGAUCCGCGGAAAAUUAUAACGGAUCGGUAAAAAAAAAGUUUUCAUCCCCGCCAUUAAAAUACAGAUCUAAAGGCUCUUAAGCUGUGUGUUGGAUAAGGGCUCCAUAACAAUCACUUGUUAUGGACCAAAACCCUUCAAUUAUAUAAAUCAAUCCCUUUCAUUUCUAGUUUCUACUCAGCUUUGUUUUCGGAGAUUUUUUUAUCUUCAAGAACGGAAACUUAACACGUAUUUUAAGACUCCGAUAAAAUAAAGGCAGCCAACAUAAGAGACAAACAUGAAAGCAAGUUUAUUGCUUUCGGCCUAGAUACCAAUCCCAUGAAAAAGGAGACCCUACUGCGUUUAUUCAUUGUGUGUGAAGUGCAAUACGUGCUAUUGCUUUCCCCUCCUUUCAUUUUCGUCGUUAAUUUUUUAGCAAAGUAUCUUUCUCGUUCGUUCUUUUUACCUUGGCAUGCCUUUUAUCUUUUUGUUGCGAUUGUUGGACCGGAAAUUGUGCAUAAACACCGUAUUCAGUUUUAGUCAAUUGAAAACUUUGUAUUAAAAAAUGGGUUUUGGUUCAUAACAAGCGUUUGUUAUGGAGGGUUUAUCCAACACACAACUUCAGAGUGGUUAGAUCUGUAUUUUAAUGAUCGGGAUGAAAGUUUUUAUUUUUACCGAUCCGCUAUAAUUCUCUGUGGAUCAGAGCUAUUCCUUUUCACGAAACCGAAAAGUUCUCAUCUGCGAAAAAUUAUAGCGGAUCGGUAAAGAAAAAGCUUCAAUCCGGACCCUUAUUAUAUAGAUCCGACACGCCGGAUAAUGUAUGUUAUAUAAACGGACGGUCUUUGACAAACGGUUGUCGGAGACCAGGACUCUUAAAAAAUAGAUAUCGAAGUUAAUGCGAUAUUUAGAAUUGAAAAUGUUUUGUUCCGAAUUUCGGAUAUGAUACUUAUUUUAAAAUUUUAGGUGGUUAGUGAGAUAGUGCGAUGAUGUAGAGGUUGAGUGAGAAAUGUACCAAGCAUUUCUUAAUCCCGUUAAUUACCAUUUAAACAUAUAUUUAACAGUUUAAAAGCUACUGAGAAUGGACAAUUUGCAUUUUUAAGGAAGAGAGUGCAAUUUUGCCGCAAAAUUACAUUUUUUUAAUACGCAUGCAGUCUUUUUCUCGUUCGUUGAAAGAAAAGUGAAAGCAAUUGGUUUGAUUUAAAAAAUGUCAUGUCGAUGAAUUACGUACCUACUCCUUUCAUUCGAUGAAAUUAAAUCUAGUUUAUUUUGAUGAAACUAAAUCUCUUAAAAAAUAAAAUAAGAACACGAUAUUUUUCGAGAUAUCCUGAGAUAUGGCCUAUGGGUCAAUAUGGAUAGAUAUAUCCAAAAUUCCGGAAAUUAAUAUUUAUAUCGGAUAUUAUAUAACAUAGGUUUUUUUUAGAAACAUUUUAGAAAAUGAUAUUAUUUAUAAAAUCGAAUAAAAAAUUUAGGGUGACUCCUGGCCCCUGGGAUGGAUCAGGAUCUUUAUGAGAUGUGAACAAAGAUCCGGGUCAGGUCGGGCCGCAACUUUAUUAGACGCGUUUGGGCCCCCAUGUCGCCCCUGAGCCUAUCUAUUAAUUUUGCACUCUCUUUUGUUGCCGACUCUAUAAUAAUAUGUCUAUAUUUUAAUCAUCAUUAUGCCUCCUAAUGGGAUUUUAAUUAAUUGCUUGCUCCGGUGUGAAUCAGGAGGCAAGUUAUUUUUCUUCGAAAUUGAUUAUUUUUACUGAAAGUAUACAGUUUACAUGACGUGUACUUUCUUAGCUUAAAUAUAAAUAAAAUUUAUAGAAAGAUAUAUAAAUGUCCCAUUUAAUUGUAUAUUUUUCUUUUUCACAGCUCGACAUGCACUUUAAUACUUUUAUAAAAUAUAGUUUCAUAACUUAUUUUUCUUAAAUUUCUUUUUCUGAAUAAAAAUAUAACAUUCAAACUUUUAUUCAGAAAAAAAUAAUCUUAAAAAUAAGUUAUAAAACUAUAUUUUAUAGGAGUAUUUAAAUCCGUACCGCGUCUCCGUCCUCAAUGUAUAUAACUAGGGGUGGCAAUCGUUUCGUUUCGUGUACUCAAAGGUGAAACCCGUAUCCGCCCGUUAUUAAUUUCGUGUACCUACUUUGAAACCCGUAUCCGAUCCGAAACGUUUCGUGUAUAUUAUAUAUAAAAAUAUCAAUAUAAUUUUUAAUCAAAAAAUAGAUUUAAUAUAUAAUUUCCUUCAUAAUUUUAGUAAAUGUGAAUGAUAUAUUUAUACUUGUAUACAAUUCUCUAUAAAUUUGUUAAUGUAUCUACAAUAUAUAUCCACACAUACAUAUAAAUAUAUACUUUUUACACAAUUAUAUAUUUAAUAUAUCAUAACAUAUAUAUAAUAAAUAUUAUGUACCAAUAUUUCGUAUACUUUCGUAUAUUUCGUGUACUCCAAAUGAAAACCCAUAUCCGACACGAAAUCUAUCGUGUAAUUUCGUGUUCGUGUACUUUCGUGUUUCGUGUAUCAAAAAUCAAAACCCAUAUCCAUUUUUUCUGUGUCGUUUCGUUUCGUGUUAGCGUGUUACGUAUCAAAUUGCCAUGUCUAUAUAUAACUCAAGGGGACGGAGGGAGUAUAUAUUAAAACAAAUAUACUAAUAAAUUAUAAAUAUUUCGACCGCAUGACUUACUAGUUUUACAGUCCGCGAACAGAUCCUUAAGAUUUCCCCUGGCCCACUCCAAAUAGACAAGAUUUUAAGAAAUACCUGACACCAUUACGUGUUUUUUUUGUAAGAUUUACGUAUUGCUUUUCAAUCAUUUUUUUUUCUCACUAAAUACAAAGCCAAAAUAUGUAAUUGUUGUUUCAUACUUUAACAAAAAUCACGUAACAAUAAUGUCAAAAAAUUACAGAUACUCGUAAAUCACUACAAAGAAUAAUACUGGUGAUAUCAAACCCGAAUGUCAAACAACAUAAUUAACUCACGCUAUUUUACAUUUAUAAGGAUCAAUUUUUAUUACUUAAAUAUUAAAAAUUAAUUUAAAAACAAAUUCGAACUCGAGCUCGAGAUUAAAAAAAUUAAUCGGCACUUGGACGUAACAUAACACACUAAACCGAGCUGAACUUUGCUUGGUUCACUCUCUUUCGUUUAUUCACACCCCGCCUUUUUCGUUCCCCAUCUCUUUCCCAUGUGAUCAUAUUUCUCUCCAUACAUACAUAUUUCUACAUGCGUGUGUCUCUUUUUUACACUUAAAAGUGCAACUUAGCUCUUAUAACAAGAAAAGAACGGAAUGAUGGCUAAUCAGAUUCUUGGAUUUCUCUAUUAAAUGAUGUUUUAUGACUCUUUGUGCACUAUAAAAUCCGUCAUUUAUGGGUGUUGAUACACUGUUUUUUGUAACAGCUGGUGAAAAAUGAAGAGAAGUGAUAUUGGUUUGUUCUUCAUUGCUCACUUGGGUGUCUUGGUGAUUGUUGGUUUGAGUUUUUGCAGCUCGGUUUUAGCUGUGGAGGAACAGCCUGAUCGAGAAAGUCUCGACUUUAUUUUAGGUUUGUCAUCUCUCUCUCUCCCACCCCUCUCUCUCUCUCUCCCUCUCCCUCCCCCCCCUCUCUCUCUCUCCCUCCCUCCCUCCCUCCCUCUCUCUCUCGCUGUUUAUGGUUUCUUUUUGUGAAAUGGUGAAAUGGUGAAAUGGGAUUUUUAUUUUUGAUGUAUGUGAAUUGGGUUUUCUUGAUUCUUGAUUUUGAUCACCUGGUGAUUGCAAUGUACAAGAGUCAGUCUCUUAUGAUUAUAUUGCAAUGGCACACAAACGGCUCCUUUAAAUUUGGGAGUUUUCUUUGUCACUUUAUAAUUCAGUACUAGUGUGUUACAUAGUGUUAUUUCUGCCCUGUUUGCAAAUUGUAGUUGUGCUUGUGCAUAUCUUGAAAUGUUUGAUUAUACUGAAUUGCACUAUUCUGUGAUUGACAUUAGGUGAUACAAAUUUAGGGAGGUGGAGAAGUGGAAUAUCGAGGGCAAUCGCAGAGGCCCCUGGUCCAGGAUCAAGCCCAUUUGUUUUGGCAGAGAAAAGGACACGCAGGCCGGACAUACUCUCCGGCUUUAAAAAAUAUCAGGGUGGAUGGGACAUUGUCAAUAAGCAUUACUGGGCUGUGAGUGUUUUUCUCUUUAGUUCUCGCUCUGAGAAUAUAUAUAUAUUGCUGUGUGCUUCUGAUUGUUUAUCUUUGAUAUGUUCUACUAAGUUUCUCUCGAAUUAUAUUGACAUGUUGUAGUUUUAUGGAAUAGUUGGUGGUGAUUAAGCGAAUAUAUCAGGAAAAGUUUAUAGACUUCCGUUCUUGAGUAGGAACCUACAUUUGUGUGUUAAACUGGAAGCUAGGAAAGACAUCGAAAAUAUCUAAGAGCUUCAACAGCCAAGAAAAAAGAGAAAGAAAUACAGCUUCCAUUGAAGUGAUAGUAAUUGGAAAGAAAUAUGACUUGGCUGUAGAAGAAGUAUUAUAGUAGGUUGUUUGAGGCCUGCUGUUCCAGAACACACACUUGCAGGGUACCUACUUGUGGCUGAAGGAGUCUUCAGACCAUUUACGGACCAAAAAGAUGUAAUUAUUUAUAUAUAUAUAAAGAAAGAAAAAAAUUCAAGAAAAGUGUUGAGAGGGAUUAAUUAUCUCAGUUCUUCUGAAACUUUACUUUUUUACUUGUGAUUAUCCAAGGAUUUUUUAAGAAAAAGGCUGUUAGCUGGCUUGUUUGUCAACUUGGUCAUGCAAUAUGAUUAGUUAAGUCCCCAGUGCAUGACCAGUAUUGUUCUCCAAGUAAUCGUUGUGAAUUUUACAUUUCUACAUAUUUCUGAAGUUUUGUGGUGCUGUGUGUAUUUGAAUAUUGAUUAAUUAGUUGCUAAACUUGUUGCAACAAAAUGCUUGCUACUUUCAGUAAUGCACCUUAUAAACCGCCCACACAAAUGUAGUGUUUGCUGCUUAAGUUGGACAACCCACACAAAUUAUGCAAUGCUAUUAAUUUUCUUGAAAGAAUUAUCUUUUGAUAUCUUUUGUAUUUGACAACUGCAUCUGCAGUCUGUAGGAUAUACAGGUAUUUCUGGUUUCAUUCUUGCCGUGCUGUGGUUUGUGUCAUUUGGAAUUGCUCUUGGUGUACAUCAAUGCUGUGGGUGGAGAAUUAACAUUAGAGGAAAAGAAACACCCCGUUCUCAAAGGAUUUGUUUGAUCUUGCUCGUUGUCUUCACAUGUGCCGCAGCGUAAUAAUCUUAACACUGAAUUAUGGCUCUCAUAUCUAUAUAAUUCUAAUUUUCCUGUCCUUGUGUCUGUUUGCACUCUAUUCUUUCCAAUAUUGAUCCUUUUUUUUUUUUUUUUGGUAAGCCCAUCUGGUCGAAACUUGCUUCGGCAGCAAUCCUUAUUGGUUAAAGUUUAUCUUUUAUAUGAAUUACAGUCUCUUAUAUAGACAUCUUGGUAGAUCCAGAAAAGAGAAAUAGCCUAAGGAUUCAUAUUUUUACCACCAAGUCUUUGUGUUAUUUAAGGUCACUUUUACAUUUACUCAUUAAUAACAGCAGUGACAAUAAAUUCAUCUAAUGCUGUUUCUAAGGGUUUAUAUACACAACAUUUCUUUUAUCCUCCAUUUGCCUUGAAAAUUUGAACUAUGGCCACAGGAACGCUAAAGACCGUACUAGCUAUGAAUUUCCCUCCCCUACUAAAGUCUAAAUUGACCUUUCAUACUUUAAGCACUUUCUUCUGAUUAAGAGUUCCUCUGUUUAAAGUAUAUAUUUCUGCACCAGACUUCAAUGCACUGGAGUGAAUUUUCCUUACUAUGACAGUUCACAAAGAAUCCAUAGAGGUGGUUAGAGCGAGAAUGCCAUCGGGCCUUUUGUUUACGUACUUAUUUUAAUGUGUGCCGUGACUUAGGUGAUCAUAUCUGUGCCGUGUGCCGUAUAUCCAUCAUUUUCCCUUGCUGAUUAAUGCCUUUAUCAGCUUGGGUUACACAAGCUACUUUUCAUUUAUGUUUUUUUUAUGGUGUUUCCAGUAAUUAUACAUACCCCAAGGCACUCUAUUCAACCCUGUCUAACAAUGGGCCAAUAUCUUUAUUGCUCAGGAUUGGAUGUAUUCUACUUUCGGUUGGACAGGAUGAAUUUCGUGGUGAAGCACUACAUACUCUAAAUUAUGUAGUGAAUCAGUCAGACUUCACUGUUCAGACUCUGAGAAAUGUCACGGGGUAUCUGUCACUUGCAAAGACAGUAAAUGUCGCACAACUUUUUUUACCUUCAGAUAUCAAAGAUGAUAUUGACAAGCUGAAUGUAGACCUAAAUACUGCUGCAGAAACACUCUGGGAGAAAACAGAUGAAAAUUCGAUCAAGAUCAGAAGGGUGUUUGAUGCUGUGUAUGAUCUUGUUGACUUUAUAAAUAGUAGUUUCAGUUGGUCUAGUGUGUGCUAUAACCUCCUGUCCUAAGCUGAUUAGCUAUGUGUGUGUUGCAGGCGAUCAGCUUUGAUUACUGUUGCAGCGGUGAUGCUUCUUGUUUCCGUUCUGGGUCUUGGUAUGUAUUACUAUACCCAUCAGCCAUCUUCUUUUACUUUUCCCCUUAAAUAUAUCUAUCUUGUCAGUAUACUGAUAUAGUUAACUAUAUAUCUCUCUGCAGUUCUGUCCGUGCUUGGUCAUCGACAUGCAAUUUACAUGUAACUAAUCUUAGCAUUACCUUUGCUGAAUGACUUAAUGACAGCACUCAUAAUUAUAUCUCUUUAUCCUCUACAAAUUUCUUACUUUUUCAAAAUUGCAAUGCAGAUUUGUUGUUAGUGGAUGGAUACUCGUUGCAGUUACUUUCAUUCUUUGUGGAGUUUUCCUGAUUCUCGAAAAGUAAGUUACCAAUAUAGUUUUAAAUAUACACUUCAAAAACCCAGUUUUUGGUUCAACUUAUAAAUACACUAGUCACUAUUACACUUUUUUCAAUAGCUGUUCUUUUUUUCCAAGAGAUGGAUGAUAUAUUGGUUUUCAAAAUUAUCUCCAAAGAUUUUCGCGCAUUUAAAGAUAUGCAUAUACUUGCUUCAUAUCGUAUUCGUAAUGAUGAAGCAUGCAUUAUGUUUGCUCAAUUAAGCAUUUCAGUUUAGAAUCUGUCUAUUUUGUAGUGCAUUCAAAUAUUUCAUCUUUGGUUAAACUUCUGCAGUUAGUUAUGUAUCAUCUGCUGUAAUAGAUUACAGUAUGCAAAAUAGUGUAAUUUCUGCUUGUUUUACAUGGCUCCACUUUGUGAUAUCAGCUGCUGCUUGUUUUAUACGACUCCAUUAGCUAUGCAUUUAUCCAUCAUACACAUACUUAUCAUAUCCUGUAACUCAUUGCUAAAAGGAUUCCUGCCUGUGUAGACCCUUUGUUCAGUUUGUUAUCUGGGUUCUAGACAGAUAUUUACACUUAAUUAGAAAAACAAAAUAAGCUCAAAGCACAUUGAAUUUCUGAUGCUGAGAUGGUAGUAAAUGAAUUGUGUUUCAGUGCAAUUGCUGAUACCUGUGUGGCAAUGGACGAAUGGGUGGAUCACCCCCAUGCUGAAACUGCUCUUAGUAAUAUACUUCCAUGUGUUGACCAGAGAACGACAAACCAGACACUGAUAGAAAGUAAAGAAGUCACCAAUGCUAUUGUAGAUAUUGUGAACGAGUUUCUAGAUAAUUUUGCCAACUCAAAUCCACCUCCUCAGGCAUAUCCCAGUUAUUACAACCAGUCAGGACCUCUUAUGCCUCAUCUAUGCCAGCCAUACGACUCCCAUCUGCUAGAUCGCCAGUGUCCACCUCAAGAGGUUUCCAUGGCAAAUGCUUCUCAGGUAUGUAGUCUCUUGUUUACGUGCCUGGAAAUAUUACUGUAAUAGGUUUCUAUUGGAACACAUCUGUUUUUGUUAUAGGCAGCUGAACUUGUAUCCAUCGCUUGUACAUUUUUAGGUUUGGCAGAACUACAUUUGCACGUCAUCAGGAUUUGGUGUCUGCAGCAGCGUUGGAAGGUUGACCCCAGAUAUGUAUGACCAGUUGGUGGAUGCAGUCAAUGUUAGUAAUGCCCUUCAACAUUACGCCCCUAUAUUGCUUAGUCUUCAAGACUGCAACUUCGUACGUGAUACAUUCCAUUCUAUCGUACUUGACUACUGCCCUCCACUAGAACACCGUCUCCAAGUAGUUAACGCAGGACUCGGCCUAAUCUCAGUAGGAGUUAUGCUCAGUCUUGUGCUAUGGAUAAUCUACGCAUACCGCCCCGCAGAGGAGGAAGUGUUUGCUAAGAGUCCAUUAACACAAAAAGGGCAGCUAUGGAUCAUCAAGAACCAGAGCUCAGACAACUGUUGAAGCUUAGGAAAAUACUUUUCGCUCUAGUGUUGGAAGCGUUGUUGUGUUAUGACCCAUCUCAAACUGUUGCAAAGCAAGAGUUUGAUUCUGUGGUUAUUGUAUAUUAGGAUUAUAUAAUACUAGUAAUUUUGAACCUCAAGGCCUAUACAUAUUAUGGAACAGCGUGUUCAUUGUUAAUCUGGUCUUUCAACUUGGUUUAUAAACUGAUAAAGAUUAAUCAAAGACAUGGCCGGUCAAAGACCGUGCUAACCUUGUUUCAACGGAUUAAUACAGCGAUAAUCUUUAUGGCAUGUUCGGGAACUUGAAGCUUAUUUUAAAUUCUGGAUUUGAUCAACUGUCAUAUUUGAAUACACAAAAAAUGUUGGAUUUUAAUUUCAUUUGAAAUCCAGGAUACUAGUAUAAAAUCGGUAAUCUGAAAUGACGUCUCAAAUUAUGUCAUUUAAAAUCCAGAAUUUGAGAUGGCAUACAUGUUCCCAAACAUAAUCUUAGCUCGAACACAAAAUCCGCUAAGAUAUUACAUUGCCUGCUUACUUUCUGUAAACUGGUAAUAAUUACGCUUAAUACACAAAAUCCACUAAGAUAUUACAUUGCCUGCUUACUUUCAGUAAACUGGUAAUAAUUACAACCCGGUUCGAUAUUUACGGACUCUAUAAAAUCUGAAAGUAUGAUACACAAAAUAUCCACACAUACAUAUUAUAUGGAAACCUGAAGGGUGCCUGUUCUGUAUCUAUGGAGAGCAUGCUUUCGAGCUCAUCCUGUUUUGUUUAUAAAGUCUUUUAACUAAAACCUAAACUUGACCAGUUAUGUUCAAGUUGGAGCACCACUUUCAUGGCAGCCUUUAGUGCCAAAAGAAACCAGUCACAUCGACUCAGCUUGUUACUUGAGAUUGUUGUAACAGAUCCAUCAUGGAACUUGAAUGCUUUCGGGUUGAUUCUGCAAAAUUGCCGCAUCAUCAGCUUCUUCAUCAUCAGAUCGUACCGAGGAUACACUGGUAGCCUAUCAACGACCAUUUAGAAAAAAUAGAACAAAUAUGUCAGUUUAAUCCCUCGCAAACUUUAAUCCUUACAGAUUCAACUUUAUCUACCGUGAUUUAUUUAAAAUAAUCCUUGGAGAUGUGACACAAAAGGAAGUAUGUUUUAAAGUGAUUGCAGAAGUUGGGUCAGCUACAGUUUGGCAAAGUACCUGUCGUUGGCGACGGCGACCAUGUAGAGCUUUCAGUAUGAUGUAAACUGGGAGAAGGAUCCCUAAAAUUCGCAGUAGCGGUAACUGAAACAAAGAACAGCAAAAAGGUUACCAUAAGGAAAAACUGGCAGUUGGCACUUUUUGAGCUAGUUUCUCUUACCACAAACAAUGGGAAAGAGAAAUUAUCUGAUCCUGUGGCAAAGAUUGGAACAGCAUGCCUUAGAAUUAAUAGGACCAUGAACUGCACAGAAAAAGAAACAUAUAAAAUUCUGUCAGAAUGAUGUAAUUGAUGAUAGACAUCAAACUGUGUUGUUGAACCAAACAUUCCUUCGUCAUCUAUUUUAGGGGACAGUGAUAUUUCAAAUGUCAGAUACGUACUAAUAAGAUAAAUUUAGCAAAUGCACGAUAUAUCUUGAACCAGUCAACGUCCCUUAAUUAUGGAACAGGUUCAUUAUCGAAAACCUUUAAAAUUAAACAUCACUUGAGAGAAUCAGUUCAGGUUUUCCCCCCAACAAAAUCCUGAACUGACUUGGCCAACUUCACUUUCCCUCAUUUGAUAUGUAUUUAUUUCACCUUGAAUGAAGUAUUGGACUGGUCUUAUCAAACACAUGUUAAAAAAAUAUAAUGAUUUCCUAAAUAUCACUUAUAUAAGGAAUUGUGUCACUAAUUACUAUGUUGAGGUAAGAAGAGAUACUUACAAUUGCAACAACUAAACGAAAGCAUAUCAAAUUUCUUGAUGACGAAUCUGCAUAUUCAUCAUAUGUAGGACUGAGAAAGUUGCGAUGAGUUGAAACCAUGGCAACCAAACGGGGAUUAUUCAAGUCACGCCUGCUAAUUUGCCAGCUACCCCUGGCACAAAAAAUCAAAUGGAAGAUUCUUCAAAUUUCUGAUCAUGGAAUUGUAUAAAUAACAAUUUCUUAAAUGAAUCAAGAUAAAAUAAAAUACCUCAAGUUCAUUGGGAUGCCCCCAAAUCGAAAGAGAGGAGGUGGUGCUGUGUAGUUUGGGGUGAAUUGCUGAAAAUUCAUGAAUUUCUAACAGUCAGAGCAUUUACAAUUACAUAGGCAACAGGUUUGAAAAAAGUUGGAGCAACGUGUGGAAUAAAAAAGGGUAAUAGUACGAAUUUACUGGUCAAAUUAAUGCUAAAAAAGACAUGCCUGAUGACAUAUCUCGCACAUAGUGUUACCCUUCUCGUUACACCACUUUUGCACACAUCUGCGAUGAGCAUACUACAAAAACAAAGUAAACAUGAGCUUUAAAAGUUGCCAACCAUAACUUUAUGGAUGCACGAAGCAUGGAAACAAUAUUAACAUUCAAAGAAUUAAUUUACAUUAUCUUCUAAAUAAGAAAAGUAUAUCAGCUUAAAGCAAUUCUUAUACUAAAACAGGCUUUAGGGGAAAUUGCAUUUGGCAACAAUGCAAGUUCUCGAUGAGUAAACAAGUCAAAGUUCUGCAUUACACAAAUGUUCACCAAACUUUACUUAAGAUCAAAAGACAUCGAGAGGCAAUCCCAUUUCCUUUUGUUUCAAACAUUUCAUUGAUUGGGUGAACUUUGGCAUUUCAGGAUGAGGUUCUGUUCUUAGUAAGGGGUGGCUGUACCCUAAAAGUUUCCAUUUGUGCAUUGUUAGGUCCUCCUUGAAUUACUUAUUUUCAACAUGCCAUACUUAUUUGCAUAUUAAUGGUACUUAGUAAUUAGUAUUAGUUAGGUUAGUACUUUCCUUGUUUAAAAGGUCCACAUGAAGCAAAGAACAGUACAUCACGAGAAGGGAGUAAAAAUAAGAAACUUAAAACAAAAGGGAAGUAUAUGUAUAUGUGUAUAUAUAUUUAUGGAGAGAUGGAGUAGCAAAUAAAAGACUAGUUAAAGGUCCGGUAAAUUCUUUAAAAGUAAGUAGAAUUUCAGCCUACCACUCUUGCAAGGCAACUCAAAAAUCUGAAAUAUAAACAGAAAUCAAAUCAAACUUUUCCACAACAAAUAAACUCCACAAUUACUUGGCACAAGCUGGCCAUUUCAAAUUUCCCAAAUCUCCUCAACGUGUAUAUAUGAUGAGUGUUCGUAGUAAGAAAUUUUUACUAGAUAAAGCAAUAUGUUGAUGUCAGAAGUAUUAAAUAUUGCAUACAAGUUGACAUACAUGCAAAUUUGCAAAAUAUCAAUCGUCAUUUCACUAAUCUGUGGACCAGCGAGGAAUUGUGAACUUUAUUGCAAAAAAGUUGUUCUAGUAAUGUUUUUAACAUGUAAAGGUCAACACAAUUUUAGUGAAACUUCACCCCCACUUCAUCCGGCUUCAGAAUUAUAUAACAGAAUGAAAAUAUUGUCAAAAGUAGAAAGGAUACCAGGACCAGCAUUAAUCACAAUACAAAUGUUACUCUAGAGACUUAACCUGAUAUGUGAGCCUCCAGAGUCAUACAUGCGAAAUGAACACUACUCUAAAAGGACAAUGCAAAUACGCAAUAACAAUAAUCAACAUGUAGUGUAACUGACCUUCAAGCUGCCACGGCAAGAGCAAGGUGUCUCCAUUUUUGAAUCAAAAUCCUCAUCCUGGCAUAUCCUGCAUUCAACCACUUUCCUAGGAGCGAAACCAAUUUCAGAAUCUGAAUGUGAAGCACAAUCAAUUACAACAUCAUUGUUUUCUGCGGAUCCUGAUUGUUUUGAUGGGUUCCUGCUCUCAAUUGCAGCCUCCAAAGUGGAUUCAGUAAGCAAGCGAUCAACGAGCAACACAAAAUGGUCCCCCAUUCCCAGAUAACACCUACUGAAAAUAAAAUGCAACCAACAAACUCAGUUUCUCGUCCCAAACCUAACUACAUCAUCCAACGCCAAGUAUUUCAACAAAAAGAGCACAAAAAACCUACUUACUCAUAUUAUAUAAAGGCAUGUGCUGUGUGUAUCUAUACAUAUAAAUACUAGGAAUCUCCAUAAAGUAGAACUAUCAUGUGAAUUUUAUACCCAAAACAACAUACAGGUUUUAAAUUAGUUUCUAAUUGAGUUGAAGUACUGAAAAGCCCUAAAAGAAAGCUAAAAACAUAUUUUACCUCCCGACCAAGAUCAAAUUCAAAUUGAAUGAAGCAACAAAGUUUUAACCAAUACAAUCACAACGGUGCUUGAACCAAUUUACUUAUAAAUAGCACAGAACAAAAGAUAAACCCAAGCUUCUAGGAUCAAUUACACAUAUCACAAAAAGUAUAAAAGUUUAAGUUGGAGUUCCACCCAAAAAACAAAUCAAAGCUAGUAAACAAGCAAUGGUCUAAAGACAUGAACCAAAAAUAAGAGAAUUGAAAUUUCACAUAAAGUACUCAGCUUUUUCAAUUCUCUCCCCUUAAAAGUCCCAAAAAUCAAGAAAAGCACCUUAUUCAACACAACAAUUCCAAAGCUUUAUAAACACACAAAGAUUCCAACAACAUACAAGAAAUUGAAACAAAAUGAGACCAACCCAGAUGAGCAAAACUGAAACAAUAAUCAAACAACAUAAAAUCAUCAAGAAAUAAGCAGAAAAAACAAAAGGGUCAUCAUAAAGACUUACAACAAGGGGGAUCUAUAUGUUUCAGCUAAGAAAGUUUUGAUCUUUACCCUUUUCUUGGCCUGCAAAAUCACUCUAUGUAUGUUCAAAUUGAAGCAAAGAGAUGGAGUAUAGUGAUUUUUGUGAAAUUUAAAAGCUACCCAUUAACCUAAUACAUAUCCACAAUACCCAUGUAUAUUUCUGUUACAGUACUAUGUAUUAUGUAUGUGGAGUUUUGUCCUAUGUGCUUGAAAAUGUUGUCAGUGUUUGACACAAUUGCAUAUACUUACAAGGGGUUUGUAUGUAUAUGUUUGGGGGAGUUUAUGUAGAGGAAAGGAGAGAAGUGAGGGGAGGAUUUAACGGCUAAGCCGGUCACUGCGGCCACGAUUCUUUUUUUGAUUUGUUUAAUCUUUGGAGUAAUUUAGAUGAUCUUGGGGCAAGAUUGAUUAAAUGAAGUGGAGUUGUGAAUUUAUUGUGUGAGGAUUAGUAUGAUUGGAUAAUCUUUCUUUAUUAGAAAAUAAUUAAUGUGAUAUUAAUAUGUGUGGGAGGUUUUUCGAGUAAAAAUUUGUGUUCAAUUCGUUUCAAACUUAUAAAUAUUAUUAAUAGUAAUAACAUUUCAAAUCGUGAGAGCAUCUCCGUCAGCUUCCCUGUAUGGUGUCCUAAAUUAUUAAUAUAAAGAAUAUGACAUAAAACACAACUCCAGCAGAAUCUUGACCAUUUCUUAAAAAGUUAGAAUGCCCACUCCAUUCCUAUUUUUAAGGAUUGUGGAACCAUUCCUCAUACUAUUUUGAACAAUCAAAUAUUCACUUCUCGCCAUUUCACCCUCUUUCCUUACUUUCUCUCUCCUACUUACAAGUUGAAUAUAAGAGCAUCUCCAGCCGUGUCUUAGUGUCUUCCUUAUAAAUAUUAUAAAAUAUUGAAUCCUAAUAAUUUAGGACAAGAUUUUGUAUUUCAACUCCAACAAUGAUCCUUAUAAUUCAUUCCUUAUUAUUAUUAUAAUAAUAAAUUUGGAAAGAGAUUGAUAAAAGAUGGAAGGAAGAGAGAGAAAAUAAGUUACAAUAAGAGAGAGAAAUGAUUUUUUUAUUAAAGAAAUCAAAUAAGGCAUGGCUAGUGGUGCCUUAUUAAUAAGGCAUGGAAGGAGGAUCCUAGUGAUUUAAGGCACCUCUAAGACACUGCUGGAGCACUAAUUUAUGUCACAUUCCUUAUAAUUGAACUUAGGACAUGAAAUAGGGAAGCUGCCGGAGUUGCUCUAAUAUUAUAAUAAUAAUAGGGAAUAGAAAUAUGGAAUGUUGUUGGAGUUUCCAUUCAAUAAAAUGUAGUAAUCCCUUAAAAAAUGAAUAUUUUAUUAUAUAUUUAAGGAACAUGUUAGGACUCUGCUGGAGAUUCUCUGAGUACCAGUAUAACUAGAUAAAUCAAUAUAAAUUAGUAAAUUCUAACCGUGUCUCUUUCAUUUCUUUAUAAUCUCUUUACAUUACUCGGCAUGAUUUUAAAGCGCAUGUCAAACAUAAUUUCAUAAUUUAAUUUUUAAAUUUUUCCUUUUAUACAAAUUUAAACAUUAAAAUUUUAUUUAAAAAUAAUUUUUUUUUUUUUUUGAAGCAAAGGUGUUAAUCUAAUAACAAAAAGCCAUACGGCAUCUACACCAAUGAUCGAGUCGAACAAACAGUAAUUUGCAAUCGCCUGUUCUCAUAAGGAGACAGUUAAACGAUAUUUUGAAGAAAAUGUAUAUACAAAUACAAGUACCCGCUUCAUGCAUCCUCGUUGAAUUACUGGUACCCUCUUCAUCAUGCCCUGACAGAGCUAUCGUUUGAGCUAUCGACCAAAACGGCGAUUCCAUACAAACUCUCAUCACCAAAUCAAAAACCCCGCUUACAAUUAAGAAGCCAAAAACAAAACUCUCACCAGGGAGAGAAAACAACCUUAGAUCUUAAGCACAACCACAAAAACAAGAGAAAUCAGACUGAAAAUCCACCCGCUUGAAAACAGAGAAGAAAGACACCGAAAUCUCCGAUGGUUUUAGAUCUAAGAAUUCUCCCGAGAAUAGAUCCGGAGCAAAACCACAAAAACAAGAGAAAUCAGACUGAAACUCAUCCACUUGGAAGAGAGACAGUGAAAUCUCCGAUGGUUUUAGAUCUAAGUUUCUCCCGAGAAGAUGUAUUAUUCAAAAAACUAGAAAGAAAACAAAGCAAUCAAGUGAUUCAGGGUUUUCCACCGGUGAAAACCGAUGGAAGCCCCAGACGGCUAUGACAAGAAAGAGGCUAAAGAGAAUUAGGGUUAAGGGAGAAGCUAGAGUUUAGUUGAUACUUGUUUAUACGAGAAGACUAAACUAUAUUAAACUAUAUUAUACGAGAAGACUAAAAUACGUGUCGAAUUCUCAUCUCCCAUGUAAACACUUGAGGGGACAAAUGGAGUACAAAUCAAUACAAACAAAUCAAAAUGUAACCAAUCAUUCCCGAUUUUCCUCAAUUUAUUUCGUGUUCAUUAAAAUCUCAAUAAGACUCUGGACAGAUCACACCGAUGCUCGGACAAAUUAAAGAACCAAUACUGACAGUUUUAAUGAGUUUAAAAUAAGUGCUUCUUGUAAGUUACGACUUACAAGUGAUUAGAGUAUUUGGGAAAGAAGUAGAAGCCAUUGAACAAAAGUUAGUAUUCUCAAUUUCUUAUAGUUUCUUGUAAGUACUUCUUGAGUUUUACAACAAACGGUAUGAAUUAAUGCAACGGUAUGAAUUAAUGCUUGCAGGAGCCGGGCUUUUAAACCCGACCAAACACCCUAGUGAUCUUAUAUCUUGUUUAUUAGAUCCUACUCAAACAUUGUCAAGACCAAACUCGGCAUCUAUAUUUUAAAACACACAAACUUUUCAAUUUUUUUAAAAAUAUUAAUCUAUGUUUACUAUUUAGUAAUUUAUACAUAGGUUGAGACUCGGUAAUUAUAAACCUAUUUAUAAACUUAAUUUCAGAAUAACGAGAAAUAUAUUGAAUUUGUCGAAAUUUUGAAAUAAUUUUGUAUAAACUCAAAGUAUUUGUUCGAGAAUGAACUCAAAUUCAAUUAACAUGAAAUGAUUUUAUUAAUUUGACGAAGAAUUGUAGUUACGUCAAUCACGAAAACUCAACAUCGAACUCAUACAUUAGUAUUACUUAUAUUAACGUUGAAUGAGUAAUUUAAUUACGAAAACGUUCAUCCUUAUUAAUCGAAUUUAUAACUCAAAGUUUUCUUAUAUUUACAUCGUAUCCUUUAUUCCAAAAGGACCUUAGUCACUUCGAUCGAGGAGCUCUUUGUAACAAGAUAGAGUAAAAAAAUUGAAUUUUUGGAGUUAAGAAGCCACUGUAACAAUUACUUUCAUUCUUAUUUUGUACAAAAAGAGGACAAAACAAUUACUUUCCUUCUAAUAUUAUUGCAUAAAACAUGAGUUAGGCGUGCAAGGCAAAACUAUGUACUCAACAUAAUCAUUUUCUUUUCAAAUUCUUUACGAUUUACAAGUAAUCAUGUAACGAGGGGCUCCAAACAUAAUGAUUUUUCGUCAAUAAAUUUAAAUCCCUAAUAUGAUUAGGACUCCUGUUCAAAAUAACCAAAAAUUAUUGAUGCAAACACUAGUGUAAAAGAUCUCGAUCAUAAACCAAACACCCCAUUGAAUUGAAUGGCAAUAAACAAAUGAACAAAGUAGUUGGAAUAGUUGAUCACCUAUAUUAAGCUAAGAAUAAUUAAAUUAAGACUACUAAUAGCAAUCAAUUGCCUAAAUUUGCACUUAUACUAUGUCCCUAAGAGAAGAAAAUACAAAUAAAAUGGUUGAAAACGAAAGAUUUUCUCAAAUUAGUUAUGUGUGGUUAGUUGAGCUACAGCCUCUCCUAUUUCAUUGAAAUGAAGACUACCAAGUAAACAUGCAAUAAUAAUCUAUCUGCUCUGCAAUUAAUAGAAAUUUAUGUUAUCUAAUUGUUUGAGAGCGACAUGUAUGAUGAUUUUGUUUUUGAAAUUUGACUAGCUAAUCUUGUAUUAUGACCAAAUCUAGUAGAAUAAGUAUUUGGGUGACAAGGAUUAGUUUCAUUGGUUUGGGUACUUUGGUUGGCAACCUACUUAGACCUGAUUAAGAAAGUACACAUAAUCUGUUUUAUUGCAACCAACUCUUUUAUCAUACUACCAAUUUUGAUUCAAAAAUAUGUCCUAAAUAACACGUGUCAUAUUUUGAUUGACCAUGGCUCUAUCUCCGCUGAGAUUAAGAGCCAAAUAUAACCUAGUAAAUAUUGACCUAGGAUUCGAGCAAAUGUGUGUGGGUAAAUGCUUAAGAUGGGGUACCUCGCUAGAGGAAGAGGAGUCAUGAAGGUGAAAACCUAAACUAAGUCGAUGAAUGUCGGCUCAUUCUAACCUCUAAACUGAAAACUUCUAAAAUUUGUAACCUAUAAGGAACCAAAAGAGCUCAUUUGAAAAGUUGGUUUCCAAUCUAAUAACUACUGAAACAUGCACAGAUGACAUAAUUUAGAAACCACAAGCCACAUGAACCCGAGAACUAGUUGCAAUGUGCAUCAUAACUGGAUGUGCAGAAGUCGGAAACAGUACUUACUUUGUAUGUUUAUAACACCCUGGAUUCUAAUAGUUCUAAGAAGUCUGUUAUUACACAAACAAACAUUCACCUGUUUGCUAAUCUGCAGAUCUUCUUCUGAGGAAAAUACAUCAGACGUUCCUUUGAGUAUUUAGUUCAGAAAGCUCCUCGGGGAGGUUUAGCACCAUGUCUGCAUAUGCUUCAGGCAAACUCAUAGUUCGCAAUGCAUCUUCUGCGUAUGUUAAGCGCAAUGGUACAUCUCUAUUUUCUGAUGCUCCAUUACCUUUCCUCAGUUUUUUAGCAGUCGAAGAAUUUUUAGACUCACUCACAGGCCAUGCCAGUACACUCACCCGAGUGGGUAGAAUAGACAACAGAUCUGCGUAUUUCAGACUGACAGUUAUAUUGCAAUCACAAUGGCCUAGCAUGAAUUCCACCAUAUCGUAAGGAAGACUGUGAUAAAGUUCUUUGAGUUGAUUCCCAUAUAAUUCCUUCGUAAGACGGACCUGCUCCCGUCUGUCGACAUAAGCUUGCACCAGCUCGCCAACAUGAUCUAUAAAUUUUAUCGCAUUUGAGGAGAGAAAAUUAUUUUCUGCUUCCCUUAUUGGCAGAAAGAAAGGAACUGUAUGUUCGAGGACAGUCAUCUUCUGAAGAAAUGACUUGCUUUCAAGCACACAAUGGUAAUGCUCACGAACAUAUCCACCAUACAGUGCCUCAUACCGGAUGCCAAUUCUUGCUCCAUCAAGACAGCAAAGUAUCUUUGUCCCGACUUUGUAGAUGAUCUUCUCAGCAAGAGGAGAUCUUGGGGACCCAGGUAACUGCAUUGCCCUACUCUCAACCUCCAUGUGAACCCUUUCUCUUAUGGUGGCCAAUAGCCCAUCAUUCCACUCUUCACCAUCUAAACAAAUUUCUCGAGUUUUAGAGUAACAAGCAGCUUCAAAUUCCCUCUGCAAACGCUCAAAAACAUUCUUAUCAGAGUCCCUGGAAAGACGCUCGGCUAACUCCCCAUACCUUUUGAGAACACUGGAGAAUCUUUCCCUCGUAGCCACCAAGCUUGUAUCACCCUGCAUAGAGCUCGUUUCUCCCAUAUUUGCACUACAAAGGGCCAAAACUCAUUUGGUUAAAACUUGACCUUUUUGGUUCAACCUCUAUCUUUACUGCUAUCUAUUUACCUAGUGAGAACUACUGAGAUGUAUUAUAUAUUUAGUGACUUUCAAUUCAGUACAUUCUAUCCAAAUGUUAUAAAAUAAGACAAGACACCCACAUAUUGCUGAUUCAUUAUGGAAACCUCUAGCUUCCACGGCUAUUAAAUUAUUAUCUCCUCCCCUGAUCCAAAACUAUAUAUACAUUUCAAACCGACUGCAAGUAAUGACAUUUAAUUCCUGUUCCGAAAUUGUACAUUCAGAACUUCAUAAUGAAUGAAAAGAAAACACAGCAGGCAUGUACAUUCAGAAAUUCAAAAUGAAAGAAAAAAACACGAAAAAACGUUGAAGAUUUAGUUACUUAAGUUUGAUCAGGAUAGGACCGAUAGGUAAAUUAUGAAGUAUACAUAGUUUGCUAAACAAAUGAACCCAGACCAAAUCACCAUAAGUAAGCAAUAUGAAAAAACAUGCUCCCUUAACAUUUAGCUUUCCCAACAGAUAUAAAAGUAAAUGACCAAAUCACAAUGAAUAAGCAAAAUGAACAAAAAUACUCCUAUACCCUAUUAUUACUUGUUUUUGACUUUUGCGCUUAAUAACUCAUUGAAGUAUUUUGGGCAACUACCCUCAAGUAAAUGCCUCGCUCACUUUCUAAAUAUUAAUCUUUCUUACUAUAUAUCUCUCCCAGUUCAAAAAAAAUUUACUUAUAGGGAUGUUUUCUUUUAUUGGUAAAUACUUCACCUAAAUUUAGUAUAAAGAUUAGUGUUUACCUAUAUACUUUUUACACGAGGCUAGAAGUUAAGUUUUGAGAAAAUGCUCAAAAUAGCAUGUUACAAGAUGAUGACCCUCUUAACGUUAAUAAUACAUACGCCAUAUGAAUAAUAAAUAUACAUUAUUCAAUAUGCUUGCUGCCAUAUUGGUUGAGAGUACGCCACAAGUGUUCAUGCACUCUAACAUGCUUUGAAAAUACAUAACACUCACACUAAAAGCAUCAGGGCACAUAACGCAAUUCACUGACGUGCUACAGUUUCAAAAUAAACCCCAAAUUCCCCCCCCCCCCCCCCCCCCANNNNNNNNNNNNNNNNNNNNNNNNNNNNNNNNNNNNNNNNNNNNNNNNNNNNNNNNNNNNNNNNNNNNNNNNNNNNNNNNNNNNNNNNNNNNNNNNNNNNNNNNNNNNNNNNNNNNNNNNNNNNNNNNNNNNNNNNNNNNNNNNNNNNNNNNNNNNNNNNNNNNNNNNNNNNNNNNNNNNNNNNNNNNNNNNNNNNNNNNNNNNNNNNNNNNNNNNNNNNNNNNNNNNNNNNNNNNNNNCCCCCCCCCCCCCCCCCAAACAAAUGAUGUGGCAUACAAAUGGCUGAUUUUAAUAGAGAGGUUUAUGUGCAUACCGGGGGUUCCCAUUAUUAUUAGUAUGAGUGAAACCAAUCAUACAUUGUCAACGAAGAUUUGGGGGAAAAAAUUGGGAACAAUUAUUGGGGUACCUAGCAUUUUCCUUUGUUUAUCGUGUUACGAGUCAUGUAACCCACAUAUCGGUUUCUCUUAACGAAAAUGCUAGGUACCCCAAGAAGUGUUCCAAAAUUUUUCUCAAAUCUAGUUGGUAAUUUAUGAUUGAUUCCACACACACUAAUAAUAAUGGGAUGCCCUGUAUGCACGUAAACCAUCUAACUAAAAUAAGUCAUCUGUCCACCACAUCAUUUGGGAACAGAAUUUGGGGUAACUAGUAUCACUCUUCUCUUAAUAAGUAAAAUCAUAAUCUACAUUGAUACGAAUAUAUAUAUGGAUAUUGAGCUCAUUUCUCCGGGUAGUCGUUCGGUUGCGUUUCGACUACUUAAGUCGUCUAUUUUUCCGAUUAAAUCACAUUUGUAGUAAUUUCAUCACAUAUCAGUUCAUUAAAAACCCUAAAAGCCUCAAUUCAAAUCAGCCAAAUGCAAAACUAACAUGAACAAGUUGAAUUCAUUAUAACAUCACCACACAGAGAUAUACAAGAGAUGUAACUUACGGAAAUGGACGCCGGAGUUUCACUGUCUUCGUCGCCGGUGAGGUCUCCGUUCCGCCGCUGGUUUAUUUUCACCUGAUUAUGUCCCAGUUAAAGGUUUAUAAUUACAGACCUAUCGAGAUCAAGAGGGUGUAUUGCACUAAUGGGAAUUUAACAAAUAUACUAUAUUUUAGGAUUUUAUUUGCAAAAAUACCAUCUUUCUAAAUUAAUUGCAUAUUUACUAAACUAAGUUUCUAAAUUGCAAAAAUACUACCCCACCCCCUGCAACUAAAUGCAACCUCAUAUGCAACUGAAUGUCUGAUUUCAAGUUCCACUUUUCAAAUGUCAUUUUCGACCUCAUCCUUGGAAUCCACACACACACACACACACAUAUAUAUAUAUAUAGGCUAAUGAUCAAAUAGAAACCAAUUUUAAAAUAAAAACUAGAAACCAAUACAAGUUAGUGAUAUUCUCAGUACAAUUUAGAGAUAUUCUCUUUAGGAUUUAGUGAUAUGUGUUGCAGGAAUUAGUGAAAAUUUAAUCUCCAGAUAUGUUCCAGCUUAAAAUGUCCAGAUCUGUUCAUGUGUUCAAUUCAGAUGGUGGUGAUAGUGGUGGAGAUGGUGGAUGUGAAGGUGAAGAUGGAGGAAGGAUGAUUGUAGCGGAGGUUUGAGCGGCUUGAAGUGGGGGGUUGGAGCGUUGCCGGAUUAGUGGCGGCUCCGCGUUUGAAGUUGAGUCGAGUGGAGAAAGAAGUAUGAACAUGGUUGAAGGAGGUUGAAGCAGCGAUUAAGAUGGGGAUGGUGAAGAUGGAGGUGUGGAGGUUGUGUUGUUAGAGAAAUAAUGGAGGUGGAGGUGGAGAUGGAGGUGGUGGUUAUGGAGGGGGCGGGCGGCAUAGAGGUGGUAGUGGUUAUGAAGGAGGCGACGACGGAGGUGGUGGUAGUGGAGGUGGGUUGGUGAAGAUGGAGGUGGUUUUGGUGAAGAUGGAAGUGGAGAUGGGGUUGUUUAAGAAUUUAGUGGUAUCUGCUUUAGGAUUUAGUGAUAUUUCAGAUUGGUUUUUAGUUUUUAGGAUAAGAAGGUUUCUAUUGGAGUAAAACUCUAUAUAUAUAUAUAUAUAUAUAUAUUCUGAAAAUCUGGUCGAAAAUGACAUUUGGAGACUGGAACUUGAAAUCAGGCAUUUAGUUGCAUUCAGUUGCAUUUGGUUGCAUUCAGUUGAUUCUAUUUAGUUGCUUAUGAGAUUGCAUAUUCAGUUGAAUAUUGCCCCUGCGGGGCCUGCAACCCAAAUCCACCACAAUAUCACCCCACCCUAAAAAAAAAUUCAGUUGCUUAUAAGGUUGCAUUCAGUUGAUUCUAUUUUGAUCUAAUGGCCCCGCCAGGGGCACCCAUACAUUAAUUGUAACUUACAGUUUUCAGUUGCAUAUGAGAUUGCAUUCAACCAUAUGCAACUGAAUGCAACCUCAUAUGCAACUACAACUCCUGAUUUCAAGUUCCAGUUCUCGAAUGUCAUUUUCGACCUCAUCCUUGGAAUCCAUAUAUAUAUAUAUAUGGCAUUCAGUUGCAUGUGGUUGCAUUCAGUUGCAGAAAGGAGGGGUAGUAUUUUUGCAAUUUAGAAACAUAGUGUAGUAAAAUUGCAAAUAGCUAUUCUUGAGAAAAGUAAAUUUGCAAAAAUUUACUUUUUCCUAUAUAUUUAUGAAAAAACCCCUUUAAUAAUUGGAUUUUUAAAAUGCAUUAAAAUGUUGGGAUAUUCAAUUUAAAUUUUAAAUUAUAUUACAAAAUCUAAGGGGUCGUUUGGUUCGUGGGUUUCUGAUAUCAGGUAUGGGGUUUGUCCAUUCCAAACCCAUAUCUGGUGUUUGGUUGAGAAAACCCCCGAGGUAUGAGUUUUUGAUACCUAGUGGGGAGGUGGGUAUGAGAUGAAGGUAUGAGAUACAUUGAUUUUUUAUUUUUUUUCUCUCUUUAAGUAAUGAAAUAUUAAUGUUUGAUACAAAAUUAAAUCAAUGAUGCAAAAAUAUAUGACAAUAAUAAUUUUAUUAAUAUUUUUAAUUGAUAUAUAUUAAUAACUUAUUUUCUUAUAAAAUUGUAUAUAUUGAUUCCAGCACUCAACCAAACACAUGAUAUCAGAUAUGAUACCUCAAAGGCUCAAACUCAUACCAACUUAACCCGAUUCCUCAUUCCAACCCGAUACCCCUCCUCGAACCAAGCGACCCCUAAUAGUAAUCAUAAAAUUUGAUGGUAUUCAAAUGUCAGAUAGAUUUUUUAAAAUUUUAUAAAAUGAAGGACUUUGAGAUUUUUAUCAAUGAAAAUCAAUGAGAUUUUCAUUGAUAAAGAUCAAUGAGAUUUUGAAGCAUUGUGUUUAAAUCCUAAAGAAUAUGUGUGAUAUUUUUAUCAGCAAUCCGCACAAAAUCAAAUGCACAUAAAAUUCAAUAAAAUCCAUACAAUAAAAACAAUCCAUUAAAAAUAUUUAUAAAAAUAUUAUAAAAUUAUACUUUGAAAGAGCCUCAAAACGUGUGCCAAAAACGAACUUAACGAAUCUGUUGGGAUAGGAAGAGUAUAUGAAAUUAGGAUUUUAAACGAUCUUUUUCCAUUUAUGAAAAAUAUUCAAUUGAGAUUAUUUAAUAUCUAUUAAAAUCUUGAAAUAUUUAAUUGAGAUUUUGAAACAUUAUGCUUAAAUUCUAUCAACUCUGUGAUAUUAAAUCAAGAAUUGCACACAAAAUCAAAAUCACAUGCAAUUCAUUAAUUCAUUAAAAUCCAUAAACUAAAAACAAUUUAUUAUAAUCUCAAUUAAAUACACUCCGGUUGCAAAAACCUUUCAAAGUUGCCUAAGACGGAAAAAGGAGAAGCAACUGUCUCAAACUAUUGACACAAUUUAGUAAAUAUAUGUAUUAUGCAAAUUGCUCAAAGUUCCAAAUUACUAGCUAUUAAGAAUAUUGCAGAUUUUCACUGCAAGUGAACAUUAAACUCGUAAACUCAAAAAAAAACAAAAAAAAAAAACCAAGAGAGUUGUCUACCUUGAAUUUCAACAAGAGAUUUCAUAAAUAGGUGUUCAAUAUGGAGAAAGUAACACUUGGAUGAAAAUAUACAGGUCCACCAUCAUUCCCUUAUUGUGAAACAAUGAAACAUAAAGGGGCUUUCCUAUGGGUGGUAUUCAACUCUGUUGCUCUCUAGUGCUCAGGUACAAUCUUGUAAAAGGACAAAAGACACAAAGCAAAAUCCCAACACAGUUGGUUUUCGAAAAAAAAAAUUAAACUCCAGGCACUUGCAUAGCCAACAUUCAGCAAAAUAUUAUUUUCGCAAUUAUCUAGAUAUAAAAGAAGUCAGGUGUCAUUUGUCUAAGAAGCAGAGGCAGCAUUUUCCUGGGCUAUCUUCUCUGCCUUGGCCAUAACUUCUUCAAUACCUCCAACCAUAUAGAAAGAUUGUUCUGAUAGAUCAUCGAACUUCCCGUCCAAAACUCCCUGAAACAAACAUGAGGCAACAAAACAUUAAACAUCAUAAACAUAAACAAGUAGAGCUUGCACAUACUAAAUCUGUUGUACAUGCAAAGGAUAUACGAAGGCACCCCGAGAGAGUCCCGGUGUCUAUAAAAGUAUGAAUAAGCAGGAGAUCUACUUUUGAACACAGGUCCAUUGAUAAACUUGCAGUAAUGCUGUAAGCAAGGGAAGAAUAUAAUACUACAUGAUGUGCAUUAAAACAUGUAACAAACCCUUUAUGAUGGAAAUGGUCAAUAACCGAGUUACCGAGUACCACUUCCUUUUUCCAUUAUAAACAUUACAAUCCUCUUAUUGUCUAUUUAUCUCUAAUGAAAUCACUUUUUUUUUUGUCCGUGUAUCAUUUCCACCUCCAGAACAACAUGAUACAACAAAACGUGAGCAUACAUCGAAAUUAGUAUGUCCUCUCUUGUGUACUUGACCCACCAAGGAUAUUUAGGCUCGAUUACUGUGCUACUGGCAACAGGAAGUUACUUCUUACAUUCUACUCAGCUAGGUGUAACAUCUCCCCAUCAUAACAAGGCAUUUACAGAGGAAUUACUUAUUUAAAAAGAACCAAUUAAACAACCAUUAAAUAAAUAACAAUCACCUGGAAGCUGGUAAUGCUUUCUUUCAACUCCACAUAUUUGCCCGGGGCACCAGUGAAGACUUCUGCAACAUGGAAGGGCUGACUCAAAAACCUUUGAAUUUUACGAGCACGAGCAACAGUCAACUUGUCAUCUUCACUAAGCUCAUCCAUUCCCAGAAUGGCAAUAAUAUCCUGCAGAUUCUUGUAGUUCUGAAGAACCUUCUGUACUCCACGAGCAGUAUUGUAAUGUUCCUCUCCCAAAAUAUGAGGUGAGAGCAUGCGAGAUGUAGAGUCAAGGGGGUCAACAGCUGGAUAGAUACCCAGCUCAGAGAUCUGUUAAGAAAAUUGUCAACUUCAGUAUAAAUUUCUAAUAAGAAGUACCUAGUAAGUCAACAUAAGGGAGACAGGAAGUGCAAACCUGACGGGACAAGACAGUUGUGGCAUCCAAGUGAGCAAAUGUUGUUGCAGGAGCAGGAUCUGUCAAAUCAUCAGCAGGCACAUAUAUAGCUUGGACAGAAGUAAUGGAACCUUUCUUAGUUGUAGUAAUACGCUCCUGAAGACCUCCAAGAUCAGUGGCCAAAGUUGGUUGAUAACCGACAGCAGAUGGGAUACGACCAAGCAAAGCAGACACUUCAGAAUUAGCCUGCAAGAAAAUGAGACAAAGAAAAACCAUAUAGAACAUUAUUAAGAUGCUACUGUAAUCAAAAUUCCAAAAUUCUCAUAGCAGGGUACAGUACCUGAGUGAAACGGAAAAUGUUGUCAAUAAACAAAAGCACAUCUUGACCUUCAGCAUCUCUGAAGUGUUCAGCAACAGUCAAACCAGUAAGACCAACACGAGCACGAGCACCUGGGGGCUCAUUCAUUUGACCGUAGACAAGAGCACAUUUGCUCUCACUCUGAUUUAACACAAGUAAUUGAGUACAGUUUACUAGGUCUGAAACUAGUAGGAAACAAUGAGUGAUAAAAAAUAAACUGAAGUAAAACUAACCUGCUUCUCUCCUAGCUUGAUGACACCACUUUCAAUCAUUUCUCUGUACAAGUCGUUGCCCUCUCUGGUACGCUCUCCAACACCAGCAAACACAGAGAAACCACCUGCACAAAGAAUAUAAGUAAAGAUGGGUAAGAAAAACAUUAGACUCUAUAGAACUUCUAUAAGAAUUUGAACAAGAUCGUACCAUGAGCUUUUGCGACGUUGUUAAUAAGUUCCAUAAUAAGCACGGUCUUUCCCACGCCAGCACCACCAAACAAACCAAUCUUUCCUCCUCUUUGGUAUGGUGCUAACAGAUCAACAACCUAUAAUUGAGCAUCUCAUUAGGCUUAUACAUGUGUAUACCUGGACAAUAACAUUAUAAGUGUUCACCCCCCCUCACCAAAUAAAAAGUCCAAUAUAAAUUACCUUGAUACCAGUGACAAGAAUUUGUUGUUCUGUUGCUUGCUCAACAAAAGCAGGGGCUUCUCUGUGGAUAGGCAAGGAGUGGUCGGUCUCUGUUGCAGUAGAAAAAUAUAACACACGUGAGAUUUUUUUUCGAAUUGGACUUUAUUAAGCCAUUUGUUUGUAAAAAUGAGAUAGUUCACUUACUGAUAUCGCCUCUAUGGUCAAUCGGUUCCCCGAUAACAUUCAUAAUACGACCAAGAGUAGCUCUCCCAACAGGAACCUGUAACAGUACAAAAUAAAUUAACAGGGUAAAUCACUAUAAAGAAACUAACAUGAUAAGUUCUUCUCUUUGCCAAAUAUUUAGUCUCAAAUGUCAGCAACAAUAGGAAUUGAGAACUAUGAACGACAUCAUAAUAUAGCUGAAUAUGCAAUAUACAAACAUAUAUUACACUUAAAAUAAAACAAAGUAAUCAUGUGAAGACUUGGCAAUCCUCCUGCAUUUGAACAAUACAUUCGUAAACAAUAUAUGUACAUUACAUCUCAAAUCUUUGCCAUUUCUAAUCAAUUAUAUUUAAAUACAUCGAACUCGGUAAAUAUCCAGUAUUCAAAACAUUUCUAAUCAAGACACUAAAAAUAUAUUAAAACACACACAUAUCAAUACAUACAACAAAUUCAGUAAAUCAUCCACUUACAGACUUACAAUCACACAAGAUUCAAUAGUCAAAACAUUUCAAAUCAGUAAUCGAGCAACAAUAUAACACAGAAGUAUUUCUAUCUACCUAUAAAUACACAAUUCAGGAGAUCCGCAAGUUCACAAUCUACAAAAUCUAAUAAUCGACAUUUUUUAUCAGCAUAAAUACGAUAAAUCAACAAUUACAUAUAUCUAAACUCGAAAAAUGUGAUCCAAAGCUUACGGUAAUAGGAGAUCCGGUAUUGAGCACGCGUUGACCUCUGACAAGACCUUCCGUACCGUCCAUAGCAAUCGUCCUCACCAUAUUCUCCCCCAAAUGCUGCGCAACUUCGAGAACCAAGCGGAUCGAGUUGUCCAUCACCUCCAGCGCCGUCAAAAUCGGCGGCAAUCCGUCGUCGAAUCGGACAUCGACGACUGCUCCGAUGACCUGGCAUACCUGACCGAUGGCGCCAGCGCCGGUGAACUCGUCGGUGAUCUUUCCGCCACCGGGAGAGGAUUUGGGAGAGGCGGAGACGGUGGGGGAGGAGGCGGGGGGAGCGGCGGCUUCGGUGGAGUAGGUAGCGGCGCGUGGGAAGAGAGUGGAGGCGGGGGAGAGUCUGCGAGUGGUAAAGCGGGAGGUGGGGGUGGAGGAGAGGGAGGGCUUGGAGGUGGAUUUGGAGAGAGAUGAGCGGAGGAGAGAGGCGAGAAGUCGCCGAGAAGACAUAGCGGCGAGAGAGAUGAGAGAGAGAGAGACAGAGAUGUGUGUGUUAGGGUUUGAAAUGCGAUUGACCAGGAGGAUGUGUCUUAAUUUAUCCGCAGGAGUAAGAGUUUGUCUUUUUCACUUUUUUUACUGUGGUAAGAAAUAUGGAAUAUUUUCUUCAUUCUUCUUUCUUUUUUUUUGCUUUUUUGAGUAAUAUAAUUUAUUGGCUUUUAGGAUAACUAAGCGGGAAUGCUAAGAGGAAAAAAAAAAAAAAACAGUUUUCUUUUUGUCGAAAAGCAAUAAUGACAAUUGUGUUAUGGUCAAUAACUCAAUUAAAAAAUGAUUGGCAUGGUAUAAAAUCCCAAACAAUAAUUUCUGAUUUUUCGAUAAGUACAAAGCAUUUUGUAUAUCAAUUAUCAAUUAUUAUCAAUUAUUAUAUAUAAAAGCACGAGUUAUGUGUAUGUUUGAGUAAUAAAAGGAAUAGAUUAAAUUCUCAAUCUGAUCAAAAAGAGGAAAAGAUUUAUAUUAAUAUGUUGUCUGAUUAUGGAGGUAUGUUUUAAUAUGUCCUGGGUCAUUUAUUAUUUUGGAAAAAAGUUUACAUUGAUUCAGUACUAUUAAUUAAUAUGCAUGAUUACUACUACUGCAAUUUAAAUAAAAAUUUGAUACUAAUGAUAUUCCAAUAUAAAAUUUCAAUAAUCAGACUUUCAAAAUUUUGGUCAAUAUCCUCCUUAAUCUGUUAAUUGAAAAUUUUCAAAAUCUUAUUUUUACAAAUAAUAUAAGUUCAGCUCGAACUUUUUCUGCUCAAAGUCUAAAAAUUCAAGUUCGAAUAUUGUAAUAAGUUGUUGCCUUACAAUCAAAUAUUUUAGUGCAGUGUCCCUGGGAGGUAGGAAAUGCUGCUAGAAAACAAAUGAAAUGAAUGCAGCCAAUGCAUGAGGUGAGAUCAAGAAACCGCCCAAACCGCAUAAAUCGUCCGCACCGCACCAAACCGCACCACAAAAUGUGGUUUUUAAUUUUCAUGGUGCGGUUGUGGUUUGAAUUUUUCACAAACCGCACGGUGCGGUGCGGGUUGCGGUUUGACAUAAUCCUAGUGCGGUUCAAACCGCACCGCAGCGCAAUAAUAUAUACAUAUAUAAAAAUGUAUUAUCUUAUCAAUCUCUUAUUACUAUUAUACCAAAUUUGUAUGAAAUGAUUAUAUUAUUAUAAUAUGUCUCUUAGUAUUCAUAUUUAUUAUCAUAUUUACACUUUUGUUUGUAUUAUUUUUGUCGUUGUUGUAGCUCUGAAAUGAUAAAUAUCAUAUUUUCAUUUUUCACGACAGUGGUCUCAUGUGGUCAUAUUCUAGCUAGCCUAUGAUAAGGUUGUUUCUGAAGUUUUCUUCUGUCGAGCUGUUCCUCAUUUUACUUUAGUUUUGGUACUCUAGUGUUUGCUUCUCGGAAGACUAGGAAUUAGCCAAGCGCCGCAGAAUGAUUUUGCAUAACUUGUUGCAUAACGUGUUGCAGCCAGAUGAUCGUGCAUGCUCAACUCGAAAAGUGGUGAACAGAGGCUUGAUGAUAACUUAACUGCAUUGCAUCUAGUCUGCAAAUCUGCAAGCAGAAAUGCUAGAAAAGAGAGUGCCACCAGAUAUUAUCACUAAUGUUUUUGUUGAUGGUCUUUGUAAGAUAAGAAAUCUGGAACAAGACGAACAAGUUAGUGAGCUGUUGCGAAAAUGGUUGCUAUCUGCCUUCGAGUCCUUUAAUCCUUUUGAACUAUGUGAAGAAAUGAAUACCAGAUACCUUGAAUGCAUACCUCUCAGUAAUGAUGUUGAAGCUCAGGCUAAAACAAUGCAUGAACCAUUGGGGAACUCUCUUGUUCUAAAUUUUCGAUUGUUUUAUGGCAUUGUAGUGUGUUAGGCCAUUAAGAAAUUUGAUGGGCCAGUGGUGUUGUUAAGUAACCAAUUCUCCAAGAACCUCAACCUCAAGGUGUUGGGAGGAGGGUUUACUAGGCGAGCCUGAGCUCUGAUACCAUGUUAAGUAAUCAAUUUUCCCAAAACCUCAAGAUNUGGAGGAGAGGGAGGGCUUGGAGGUGGAUUUGGAGAGAGAUGAGCGGAGGAGAGAGGCGAGAAGUCGCCGAGAAGACAUAGCGGCGAGAGAGAUGAGAGAGAGAGAGACAGAGAUGUGUGUGUUAGGGUUUGAAAUGCGAUUGACCAGGAGGAUGUGUCUUAAUUUAUCCGCAGGAGUAAGAGUUUGUCUUUUUCACUUUUUUUACUGUGGUAAGAAAUAUGGAAUAUU